rnacentral:lncRNA from 1 species
UAAAGUGAUAAAGUGCAAAACCACAGGGUACUAACUUGAUACGCUUUAAACCACAGAGUACUAAAGUGAUAAAGUGAGAAACCACAGGGUACCAACUUGAUACAUUUUAAACCACAGGGUACUAAAUUGAAAAAAAUUGAAACCACAAGGGGGGUUUUGAAGUUUUUCCAAAAAAAUAAUGAAGUGACAAGAAACAGCUAGCCCUACAAAAACUAAGAUCAAAAGACACACUAAUUGAAUGAGAUGAAGAGUUAUCUAGCAAACUUUAUUUAAAUUCUUCUUUAGACUAAGACAGAGUAAAUUAUGAUAACAUUAGAACUACAACAAACAUAGAAUGGUAGGGCCCUAAGUUCAAAAUCAAUCACGCAAAUAAUUUCUCUUUUUAACCAAGCGCACAGAGAUGGAUGACAACUACUGAUACCAAUUUGCCAUAAUUUAAGCUCGCCGAAUUCUAGCUAAAUAGUUAGAAGUUUCAGCCCUGAACAACUUCGAAAAAUGUCAAAAUGAAUAUAUCAUCAGAAAUGUCAUUCCAACACGAUUACACACCAAUUAACACUCAGCAAAGAUAUCCUCCUUCACAUAAAACUCUACUAACAAUACAACAAUCUCUGAUUAACAGCUAUAUAUAUGAAUCCAACAUCAAGUAUUUUAACACAUGUUCUUUUAACAACACAAAGAAAACAACUAAUCUUCCUUUAACAACAAAAAAGAAAAAAAAUAGCUGAUAUGUCCAAAUUUAAAUAUUACAUAAAGAGAAUAAUCUAGAUAAGUCAAAAAUUAGUAACAGAAUAAUCUAGAUAAGAUGCUUCAGAUCAAUUCCUGCUAUUCCCACUUACAUAUCCUUCUUUGUCCUAAUAUUUUCAUGCCCCUUUAGUAAUAUCAUGUUCAAGCCGAUCAAAGUCGACCUCAGCUCUUCGUAUGGGUGGGUUCACAAAAUGAAGGCAUCUAUACAACAUGUUUACGUGCUUCUAUAUACCAAUAAAAUGUAUAUAAUAUAAGUUAAUACAACAUUUUAUUUACUAAUUUUUUUUUUUCAUAAAGUUACUCCUAUAAAAGAUCAACUACUCGGCGAUAAAAUUUUUAUUACAACAAAAUAAAAAGAACUAUUAUUUUUGAAUAAUUAUUUUAAUAUAUAUUGACUACUAUAUUAUUUUAAAGAAAUAUAUUUCAUUGUAUGGUUUGCACUGUCUAAAUUUUCAUGUUUAAUUAGCUUAUUUUAUAAGACAAAAAAUGCUAAUUAAGUUUGUAUAAAUUUUACAUCUCAUUGUUACAGCCGUUAAUCAAUCAUUAUUAGUGUAUGCGAAUGCACACGCGCACGUGAGCACAAACUCACAUAAAGUGAUGAGACUAACAUUAAAAAAUUUAACGUAAAAUCUUAAAAUUACAAGAUUUAAUUUCUACUUGUAAAUAAAUAAGUAGCAUUACUCUACUUUUUGAUAAUAAACUGUGAACUAAUGUAUGAACUUCCACAAAAAUAUCUAUUAAUUUAACAAAUUUCUACUUAAAUUAAUCGAAAUGAUUGUAGAAAUUAAAGUUUGGAAAGUGUUUUUGGAAAAAAAAAAAAAAAGGAAAAAAUAAGGGUGCCAUUUUCAAAAUAUGCUAUAGUUGAAGUAUUUUUUAAAAAUUUUUAAAACUUUUAUAAUUUAAAAUUUUACAUACGAAAUAGAAAAUUACUUUAUUAAAAGUAACUUGAUUUUUAAAUUAAUUUAGCUAAAAUUUUUAAUUAUUUUAGGAACAUGAUGGACUUUAGCGACAUCAACUGCCAUUGAAGCCUUAGUCAAGAUAAAGACCGGCUACUUUAAUUGAUUUAUCACCACAAUAUAUUAUUCACGGCCUUAACAAGGGAUAUUAUGGUUGGUCUGACCACGGCGGUUGAAAAAUUGUGAAAAAAAGUAGUGUAGUAAUGAAGAAAGCUUAACCCUGUGUAGAUUGUAGAUGUUUAAGAAUAAUUAGAAACUUUGAUAAAAAAAAUAAAUUAUUGUAUGUCUCGACAGUUAGUACAUUUAGACGAAAACAUAUAAUUCAGUUAUAUUACCAUUAAUAUUCAGAGAUUUGAAAAUGUCCCCUCUGGUGAUGAACAUGCGCUUUUGAAAGCGGUUGCUCACCAACUUGUUGUAUGCGGAAUCCAAACUAACGACUUUUUCAAAAACUACGACGGUGGAAUUAUAAAAAGAAGCAACAUGUCAGAGAGGAUUAUCACACUCAAUCAUUCUAUCCUAAUUGUUGGAUAUGGAGAAAAGAACGGGUUAAAGUAUUGGAUAGUGAAAAAUUUUUGGAAAAAAAAGUGGGGCGAGGAAGAGUAUGUAAUAAUUGAACGAAGAGUAGGAAUAGCAGGAAUUGAUCUGUAAGCAUCUUAUCCUGUAUAAUUGUUUACAUUCAAUCGUGCAACCUUUUGAGGAGUCAUACUUCUGUUCACUUGGAUAUUAGGUAACCAAUUUUAAAUUAUUAUCUAGAUUAUUCUUUUUUUAUCAUUUUAACGAGUAGAGGAAUUGAUCUGGAAGUAUAUUAUUCUGUAUAAUUAUUUACAUCUAAUCGUGCAGCCUUUUGUUUAAAUUUGGACAUAUUAACUAUUUUUUUCUUUUUUGUUGUUAAAGGAAGAUGAUUAGUUGUUAUUUUUUUUGUUGUUAAAAGAACAUGUGUUAAAAUACUUGAUGUGAGAUUGUUAACAGCUAUAUAUAUGAAUCCGGCAUCAAGUAUUUUAACACAUGUUUUUUUAACAACAAAAAGAAAAGAACUAAUCAUUUUCUUUAACAGUAAAAAAAAGCGAAUAUUUCCAAAUUUAAAAAUGAUAAAAAAAGAAUAAUCUAGGUAAUAAUCUAAAAUUGGUUACCUAAUAUCCAAGUGAACAGAAGUAUGACUCCUCAAAAGGUUGCACGAUUGAAUGUAAACAAUUAUACAGGAUAAGAUGCUUACAGAUCAAUUCCUGCCAUUCCUACUCUUCGUUCCAUUAUUACAUACUCUUCCUCGCCCCACUUUUUUUUCCAAAAAUUUUUCACUAUCCAAUACUUUAACCCGUUCUUUUCUCCAUAUCCAACAAUUAGGAUAGAAUGAUUGAGUGUGAUAAUCCUCUCUGGCAUGUUGCUUCUUUUUAUAAUUCCACCGUCGUAGUUUUUGAAAAAAUCGUUAGUUUGGAUUCCGCAUACAACAAGUUGGUGAGCAACCGCUUUCAAAAGCGCAUGUUCAUCACCAGAGGGGACAUUUUCAAAUCUCCGAAUAUUAAUGGUAAUAUAACUAAAUCCUAUAUUUUAGUUUAGACGUACUAAUUGUCGAGAGAUAUAAUAAUUUAUUUUUUUAUCAAAAUUUCUAAAUAUUUUUAAACAUCUACAACCUGCAUAAGAAUAAGCUCUCUCAGUUACUACACUACGCUUUUUCACAAUUUCCCAACCUACGUGUUCAAACCAGCCGCAGCAUCCCUUAUUGAGGCCGUUAAUAAUAUAUUGCAGCAAUAGAUCGAUCAAGUGGCCAAUCUUUAUUUUGAUCAAACCUUCAAUGGCGACUGAUGCAGCUAAACCCAAAAUAUUACUAAGAUAAUUUAAAAUUUUAGCUAAAAUAAUUUAAAAAUUAAGUUACUUUUAAUAAAAUAAUUUUAUAUUUCGUAAGUAUAAUUUUAAAUUAUAAAAAUUGUAAAAAUUUUACAAAAAAUGCGUCAACUAUAGCUCAUUUUGAAAAGGACACGCUUACUUUUCCUCUUCAUUUUCAAAAAUACUUUUCUAACUUUAAUUUCUACAAUCAUUUCGAUCAAUUUAGUUACAAAUUUGUUAAAUUAAUUGAUCUUUUUAUAAAAGUUCAUACUUUAGAUUAUAGUUUACCAUCAAAAAGUAGAGUAACGCUACUCCUUUAUUCAAAAGUAAAAAUAAAUUUUAUAAUUUUAAGAUUUACGUCAAAUUUUUUAAUACUUGUCUCAUCACUAUAUAUAUGCAUUUGUGCACGCGCGCACGUGUGUGCGUGCGCGUACAGUAAAACCAAUAACGAUUGACUAACGGCUUAAGCGGUAAGAUGUAAAAUUUAUAUAAACUUCAUGUGUGUAUAAUUAGCAUUUUUUGUCUCAUAAAAAUAAUCUAAUUAAACAUGAAAAAUUAGACAGUGCACACCAAAUAAUGAAACAUAUUUUCUUUAAAAUAAUAUAAUAGUAAAUAUAUAUUAAAAUAUUUACUCAAAAAUAAUAAUUCAAAUUAUUUUGUUGAAAUAAAAAUUUUACCGCUGAAUAGUUGAUAUUUUAUAAGAGUAUCGGCUCCCCUCUCUCUCCAGUCUAUGGUCAACUGCAUGCACAUAACGAAAAGAACUCCCUCAACUCGAAGUAGAGUAUAGCCGCUGAUAAAAAAAAACAAAUAAAAACAUUAGUAAAUAAAAUGUUGUUUUAACUUAUAUUAUAUAUAUUUUAUGGGUACGUAGAAAUAUUUAAACUUGUAUAGAUGGGUCCACUUUAUGACCCCAUCCAUACCAAGAGUUGAGGUCAACUUUGAUCAGUUUGAACAUAAUAUUAUUAAAAUUAGAUUAAAUUUUUGAUACCGUAAUGUUAUCCAAAAAGAGUAAAAUUCAAAUCGACCCGCUUUAGCUCAUUUUCACUUUACUCAUAUUUCACUUUACUCCUAUAUGUUUUAAUUUUUUUUUUCGCUAUAUUUUUUUUCCCCAAAUAGGGUGUUAAAUUGAAAAUCUAUAAAAGAAUCAUAGGAUGGCAAAAUAAAAAAAAUAUGCUAAACCACACGGAAGCAAAGUAAAAUUUUUGGAACCACAGGGUGAAAUGAAAAUGAGCUAAAUGAGGUAAACCACAAGGAAGCAAUUUGAAAUUUAUCCAUUAAAAUGUGAUGAACCAUUUAACACGGAGAAGGAAAAGACUACUUGUACAUUAUUUUAGGCAAUGUCAAUCUUAGGACAUCUAGAGUUUAGAUUAAUUACAUGAAUUUUUAAAUUAAAAAAAAGAGCGAUAAGAUCAUUAUAAAAAGUGGCUAGAAGUAAUUAUUGAAGUGGAAGAUGCAGGCAGAUGAAUUGUGCUAUGAAGAAAGAUUAUAUUUAUUUUUUCGAAAAGAACUCACACGUUGAUAAUAUUUUGAAAAAUCAAUUCGAUUAAACAAAAAAACAUAUAGGAAUACAAUAGCAGCUGAACUAGGCUGGAAUACUAUCAAUAGCACUAAGCUAUUGGUGCUAUUAGUUUUUUAGUCCUUGGAUUGAUAAAUGUGUGGUUAGGAUGAUGUAGGCCCCUGAGGGUUGAGUGAGUGGUUUGUUAAAUAGUAUGAUCUAACAGGUAAAUCUAACGGUAGAAAACUCGAUAGCACCAAAUCCUUGCUGCUAUCGAUAAUAUCCCAGCCGGACUCUAUAUAUAUAAAGAGAGAAGAUAGAGAAAGAGCUCUAUUUCUUAUGAGUGUAGAGCUCUUUGUACUCAUAAAUUUUUGGCCAUUGGAUGAAGGGAUGUGCAGUUAGGAUGACAAUGGUCCCAGUUAGGAUUAUAGUGGUCCUUAGAGUUAAGUGAAUGGUUGAUUAAAUAGUAUGAUCUAAUGAAUGAAAAUGGUGAAAGGUAUAGAUCUAACCAUCAAAAAUUUAUGAGUACAAAAAGGUCUAUACUCACAAGAAUAUAUGCUUCAUGCUUCUCUUAUGAACAAACAAUUAACAGAUAUUUAUUGAAUAAUAAUACGUAAAAUUAAUAUUGAGUAAAAUCGAAUGAGAUUGUGAAGAAAGCAAAUGUUAUUUAAAAUAGACCCUAUUAUAACAUAAUUUUCAUUAAUUACUUUCUUAUCAUGUAUGUUGCAACAAUAAUCUAUACUAAUCUAUGAAUCCCCAAUAUCUUGCUGACAUGGCGUUACCUCCUUCUUUCAAAACUGCUCUAUUUCAUCUCCCAACCUCCAAAACCCCUCAUCUUCAAAACCGUUUCCUCCUUAUCUUCCAAUAAAACCACAAUUGAAUGCAUAUAAUUGCAUCAAAACUAUUCCCUCUCAUCUCCCAACCUCCAAAAUCCCUCAUCUUCCAAAACCGUUCCCUCCUCAGCUCCUAAUAAAACCACAAUUGAAUGCAUGUACUUCAACAAAAUUUUGUAGGAUUAUUGAUCUUCCAUCCGUUGAAUUGAGAGCGCAAUAGAAUAGAAAGUUCGAUUCCUUAUAGCUCUACUUCUAGCAGUAGUUUCUUUUUUCGUUUUUUACAUUUAAUUUGUUGUUCGCUUGGAUUUUAGGAAAGCAUUUUUGGGUGUUUUUUUUUUAAUUUUUGGCACAUUUUAUGUUUUUUUUUUUAAAUCGUUCUAACUUCUUGAAAAGUUUCCUUUUGUUUCAGAGAGAUGAUCUUUUUUGUCUGAAUGUUUUGAAUAUUUUCCCAAUAUUAUUAUGGGGAUUUUCUCCUGAGAAGCUUAUUCAAGGGCUUUUUAUUGUUGGUUUUAUUGUUGGUUUCUAUAUUCCCCUCUUAAAUACAAGCCGACACUAAUGUGACACUGAUAAUAUUGGAUUAUUAUCAUAGUGUAUUAUACAAUAAUUAAAAUAUCGUGUCGAUGUCCGGCUAUAUAUAUAUAUAUAAUAUAUAUAUAUAUAUAUAUAUAUAGUAUAUAUAUAUAUAUACUAUAUAUAGAAUUAUAAUAUAUAAUGCUCGGGGUUACUUCAUUAUUGAUUUUUAAAAAAUUGAUUUGCGUCAAAAAAAGAAUCGGACGGAUGAAUCUGCUUAUUUGAUUUGUUAAAUGUCAAUUAAAAUCUUUUCAGUGUGCUAUUUAAUAUUUAUUAUUUUUCACUUGCAAUAUUUCAAAUAUUUUUUUUAUAAUAUCUAUGUAAUAAUUUUUCUUCUCAUAUAAUUCUUACUUUUUAUUUUCGGUUUCUUUUAUUAUUUUUUGUUGAGUUGUGAUUCCAUUUUAAAUAUUUUUUAAUGUGUUUUUUAUAUUAUUAAGUCUAAUCAAAUAUGGUUAUAUUUUUUUUUCUUCUUUACAUUCAUAUUUAUUUAUUUAAUUUGUAAAUUUUUAUUAAAAUAUUUUUUUUCGCUGCAUCGCGCGGGUCACUACACUAGUAUACUAUUUAUGAGAAAAGGUGACCUUCACUCAUAAUAAAGAAAAAUCUAAAUAAAGUAAGGCUAAAAAGAAGAAAAGAGGAGGCACGCAAAAAACUCAUAUACCUCUUUAUACUUGUUUAUUUAUAGCAGCACUACUUUUCUUCGAUAAACUACAAAUGUAAAUUUAAUAUUGAGUACUGAAAUCGAAUGAGAUUGUGAAGAAAGCAAAUGUUAUUUAAAAUAGAUCCUAAUAUAAUAUAUUUUCUACUAAUUAUUACUUUCUUAUCAUGUAUUUUGCAACAAUAAUAUACCAUUUAUCAAGGCGACCUUCAUUUAUAAUAAAAAUUUUAAAUAAAACAUGACUAAAAAGAAGAAAAGAAGACACACACAAAAAACUCAUAUACCAUUUUGUAUUUUUCAAAAUAGAGAAACUAAUUACGAGAUUAUGGCACCCAGAAAAUUAAGGAGGUGAAAAUGUACUACUACUACUACCUGUGCUAGAAUGAGGGUGGCCGCGCGCCGCCCUCCUGCAGCUCUUGAAAACGUGCGUAAUAGACUAGACGGCCUCAUCUUUCCGGGAAGGAGGGAGAGGGUGGCUGGGAGUGCAACGGAAGACUGAGCUGCUGCUGCUGCGGACGGUGGGAGUUCUCUUUUUUCUUCGUGGAGUUUUGAGUAACUAUCCCAGUGGGGAGGUGGGGUGUGAAAGAAAAGAGCAGGCUAAUAAAUAGGGGAAAGAUUAAAUAAAAUAUUAUUUUAUGUGAGCUUGGAGAAAAGUGGAGCACAGCUUUAAAACAAAAGACUCCCGCAACAAGACAAUUCACUGCUCUCUCCACAGGGAUUGAGCAGGAAGUAAUAAUUAGAUGCACCCGGUGCACUGGCAGCAGAUGCACCAUACACCCUUAUAUAUAUAUUCUAUAUAUAUAUAGAGAGAGAGUUGAGCUAGAAUACUCUCAAAAGCACCAAGGGGUUGGUAUUUUUAAGUUUUUAGCCCUUAGAUGGAGAGAUGUAGGGUUGAGAUGAUGGUGGUAGGUGGUGGUAAGUAGAAUAGUAUUUAAUCCAAAGGUUAUUAGUAAUCAAAGAGUAAAUCCAAAGACUAAAAACAAAAGAGCACAAAAGGGUUGGUGCUUUUGAGAAUAUUCUAGCUCAAUUAAAUAUAUAUAUAUAUAUAUAUAGAGAGAGAGAGAGAGAGAGAGAGAGAGAGAGAGUAGGUCUUGUGUGCUAUUAGGAGCACGAAGCCCUCCUUGUUCCUAAGCCGUUUUCGAUCAUGAAGCUUCCGAAUCAACGAUUGGCUGCGUUAGACUUAAUCUAACCUAUUUGAAAUAUCUAGAAAAUAAAUUUUGCGAUUUUUCGAUAUCAUUUACCUAGCGAUCGAAAUGGUUCAAAAUCAAAGGCUGAAAAUAAAAAUUUCAUAAAAAGUGGUGAUAUAUCACUAAAAUUUUCGAUCGGAGAUAUUAAUCUUGCUGUAAAUAGUAUAAAAAAUUUUCUAUCAAAAUUUUAUCUGAUUUGAAUACUUCUACACCGUUAAACAUGCAAAUGGUAUACAUCAACCAUUAAAAAUUUUGACGCUAUAUUAAAUCUAACGAAGCCGAUCGUCGAUUUGAAAACUCCAUCAUCAAAAACGGCUUAGGAGGACGGAGGGCUCCGUGCUCCUGAUAGCAUACAAGACCUACUCUAUAUAUAUAUAUAUAUAUAUAUAUAUAUAUAUAUAUAUAUAUAUAUAUAUAUAUAUAUAUAUUCAAUCUUUUAAUUAAAGGGUUUAGAUUACAGGGGUAGAGUUUAGAUUAUAAGGUUUAGGUAUUAGGUUUUUUUAGCCCUUAUUUGGUUGGGGGUUAAGGGGUGGAAUAACCCCUUAACCCCCAUUUUAUCCCCAAACAUCCCAAAAAAUAGGUGGGGUUAGCUAACCCCACCUAACUCCACCUUAAAUAAAUUAUCCCGGGUUAGCUAAUCCCACCUAACCCCACCAAACUUCAACCAAAUACUAUUUUCUAUUCAUAAUAAUCCACUAUCUUUCUUAUCACACCUACUCCAACCAAUCAUUAUCCUUCUUUAUCAAUCAUUAUCUUCUUAUCCCACCUACCCAACCAAACACUAUUUUUCAUUAUUCUAGACUAACUCCAACCCGCAACCAAACAUAAAAAAACUUUAACCCCACUUUAACCCUGAACUUAACUCUAUGUAUGGAAUAGCUACUUUUUCCUUAACUCUGAACCAAACGGAGGCUUAGGGUUUAGAAUAUAGGGUUUUUGAGUUUUAACUUUAAAAAUAUUAUAUAUUAUAUUUAUACAAUCAAAUAAAACUCUAAGCUCUAAAUACCUAAACCUUAAUCUGUAUCCUAAACCCCAGAAUGUAAAUUCUAUAUCUUAAAAAAUUAUAACAAAAGUUACUUGCAUCAGGUGCACCCAAUGUGCUCACAGCAAGGGGGGAACUGCGCCAAAGGACUUUUGGCCCUUUAAAGCUGCUUUUUUUUUUGCCCUUUUCUUUUAUCAGAUUUUAUACAUCCCAAAGCUCAAAAUUAUAUUAAAUUUAAUAAUUUAUUAGUAUUUAACUGUUAAUUACUCUAGGUUUAUUUACAUCAAAUUAAUUAAUUAAAAUUAUCAAAUUAGAUAAAAUUGCAAAUGAAUUUAAUAAAAUUUUAUUUUUUUCCGGACUACAAUUACUUAUUUCUAUUAAAAUAAAAACAACACAAAAGGUAGUCGGUCCUCUAUGGUAGUGGAAAAGACAAACUGUUUUUCUUAAAAGUGAUUACAAAAUAAACUGCUAUUUGCUUCCUUGCUCUUCCUUAUGAAUCAAAGGAUUUUAUUUUAAAUAUAAUUGCCUAUAUACCCUUCAUACGUUGAAAAAUAUCCGAUUUAUCUUUCUUCUUUUUUUUUUAACUACUCCUUAUAUGUUUCACCGUUAUUGCAAAAUAUCCCGGCAGUUAUCUCCUAUUAAGUUAACUUGGGUUAAACGUGAGUUAAAUAUCUACCGCAGCUAAAAAAUAUAAAAUACCAAUUUUGCACUUAACUUAAGGACAAAUAAGAAAUGUUGGUGACGGUAAAGGGUAUAUUUGAAAAGACCAAAAGUCAAAAUACUUUUUGUGCCUCUGAAUUUAAGGGCAAAUAAGAAAGUCGGUGAUUGUGGAAGGAUAUAUUUGAAAUGGCAAAAUAAUAAUUUUACAGAGAUAACAGAGUUCAUUAAUAGAUUUUAACUUUUUAGGGAUAUAUUAGAAAUAUGUUGGAACAUAGAAAGGAUAUUUUCAAUAUUAACCUUUUAAGAAAGGUAAAUCAAAAAGUCAGAAACUUUUCAGAGGUAUAUAAACAACUGCCCCUUUAUUUUACCACCUUAUAGUCUAAUAAUUAGUACACUUAUAUACUAUUAUUUUAUUUCUAUUCAAGCUUCAAAACACGUCAGUGAGUAGGAUAGUAAAACCAUACAUUUUAGAAAACAUAGUUAUAAAUAUAAAUUACCCAUCAUUUCAAAUACAAGUGACAAAAAAUUUGAUACCGGUUAGUUUGGUUUAUAUUUCCAGCUUUAUUUAUUUUUAAAAACAAAUAAACGAAGUGAGUAAUGUACUACAUUUUUCUCAAAAAAUUAAUAAUUAUAAGUGCAAAUUAGAAAAUAAUAAAUUAAUAAAAUGAUAAAUUGAUGGACCACAAUUUUAAUUUUAUUAACUAAAUAAUAAUAUAUAGUUCAUGAACAUAAGAGAUCAUAAAUAUUAGUAACAAUAACCCGACUAAAACAUCUUGAGAAAAUUAUUAAUAAAUUUGAUUAGCUUUCAUUCUAUUUAACUUAAAUUACUUAGUUUAUAAUAUUAAAUUUAAAAUUUAAGAAGCUUCCUAUAAAAAAUAGUAAAAGUGAGAAAGCUAUUUAAAUAGACCUACCGGGAGGGUUUUCAUUUACUUUUAUUAGGGUCCGUUUAAUUCAGCGUAAAAUCAUAAAAGAUAAUUUUUCGUAAAAAAAUUUUUUUGUGAAAAAAUAAAAUUUUAUAUUUUCUAGUAUUUAGUUUGUAGGAUUCUUUUUCACUAACAUUUACUUGGUUAAAAGAAAAAAAACAUAUUUAUUUGUUUUUUGACACUGUACAAAAUCUUCAUUUAUCUUUGACAUUGCACAUCAAAUUGCGUUUUUUUUUUUUUUUUUUUUUUGAUUCAUUAAGAUGCAGUUUAGUUGGGGAGUGAUAGUGGAUUGUGAGAAGAAUACUCACAUUUAUCUAAUAUUUAGAAUUAGGCUGGAAUACUAUUAAUAGUAAAACGUUCUUUUUGCUAUCAAAUUUUUAAUCCUUGAAUGAAAAAUUAUAAGGUCAGAAUGAUAUUAGUCGGUUAGAGUUGAGUGAUCCCUCUAGGGUUGAGUGGUCUCCACCGGAUUAUAGUAUUUAAUCUAAUGGUUAGAAAUAAUGAAAAGAGUUGAUCCAAAGGCUAAAAAACUGAUAGUAAUAAUAGAAUUUUGCUACUAAUAAUAGCCCAGUCCAACUCCUAAUAUUUAUGUCAAAAAUCCCUGUUUUCUCUCUUAAAAUCUAACUUAUGUAUUUACAGUUCAUGCUGAGUUGUCAUUUCUGUAACAAAACUUGCUUUUGUUCGCUGAGGUCCUGUUUGGAUGUUGGGACAUGACAUAAGGUUCUAAUUAUGAUUUUCAAUAUGGCAUAUUUCACCUUUGAGGUGAUUUAUUUCCUUGGAUUUUGGGAUAUUCAACCUUCUUACACUUUUAGCCAGUUUUCUCUGUUCUUCUCGACAACAAACUAAUAAAUGGACCUUCAGUAACAAAGGGACAUUUGUCAGAUGCGGCCUAAAAACAGGUCUGAUAGUAGAGUACUAAAAAAAUAUCAGUUUUAAGCAACUGGUGCCAAUUUACCAAGAUGACAAUAGGUAGUUAAUUUACUUGAAAAUGUUGGCUUAAGCAUGGUUGUUUAGUAGAGGUUGUGUCUUGUAAUCAUCUGGUAUUUCUCGUCAAGGCCAUCUAUUAUCAUGACUGUUCCAUUACUAUUUUACCAUCUCUUUUGUCAAGUAUUUAGAAGUACAUAGGCAUAUCUAAAAUAGACAUAUCUAAAAUACACAUAUAUGUUCUGACUAUAAGAUUCAAUCAUACACAAAUUCACAUACACAUUUAUGUGAAAUUCACAUACAUGUGAGGUUUCGCCGAUUGAGUACAAUCGGGUGAAGGAGACCUUUAGAGCCUUAGAUUUUAAAAAUCAGUUGAUGAAGAAGUUCUAGAGUGCUAAUCAGAUGGAGUGGAAAUGAUUGGAGGAUUGCCACAUGGUCUGUUGUAGAAUCAGAGCUAGAUGUCCGCACAUUCUGAGGUGAGAAAAAUGGUGUGUAUAAUAGAGAAAACAUAAAACUGGCUUAUAUCGCAAAUACUGAUAAAUUUUCUCCUACAAAAAAGGAAAAAAGAAUUUUUUACUUUAUUCUCUAAUAUUCCCUAAUAUUUUUUUUGCAAUCAAGUUCUCACUUCUUCUUGAUUUUAUUGCAAUUAUGUCCCAACUGUUAAACCCUUAUGGUUUCACACUUUCUCGCUUUUGUACCAUGGGGUUUAAAAUGUAAUCAAUAUAGUACCCUAUGGUUUAAAGUGUAUUAAUUUAUCCCCUUAUUUUGGGGGUUGUAGGGCUCACAUGCAAUUUUUUUUACGAAUUAAUCUCAUAUUGGUCACAACCUUUUCACUAUUUUCUUAUUUUGGUUCUCAAUCUUUUUUUUUUUUAAUCAAAUUUUUGAAUCUCUUGAUUUAAUCACAAUAAAAUGACACCGUUAAAAAAGGUUUUAGAAUUAACGAUGUUAUCAUACCAUCGCCUAUAUAUCCUUUUUUUGCAUGUCAAUUAUAGCCUAUAAACUUUAUUUUUCACAGUAGUCCACCAAAAAAAAAUUCAAACUUUUAAAUUCAAAUCCGGAAUUAAUCUUAAAAUUAAUCUUAAAAUAAAGUCUUCCCUUAUUUUGGGGGGUUGUGCUUCUGAUAAUUACCUACUGAUUUCUUCAUUAAUUUAAAAUUUAGAAAUCAAAUACUUUAUUAGUUAUAUGUGUAACAAUAAAAGUUAAUGAGGUCACAAUAAAGACGUUGUCGCUAAGAAUACCAAAAAUAAUACUUUCACUCCACUUUUUUUUUUCUUUUCUUUUUUUUUUUUGUUGUAAAGUAUGAAAUAGAAAAAUAUUAUUUAUCUUUUUUAAUACUGUAAUAAACUUUUGUUUUAUUUUAAACUGAUUUAUUCAUUUUGCUUAUUAGGUUUAAAUAUUUUUAAAAAGAAAAAUACUUUAAUUUCAUUCUUUAAUUUAUUCUUUAAUUUUUAAUUAUUCAAUACUGAAAUAAAUAAUAUUUAAAAAUAGUAAUGCAUAAUAGAAAAAAAUUGAUAUUAAUAGUUAUAAUAAUUUACUAUUAUAUUGUCUUCCCGCCGCAAUAUUUUAAGUAUUUGAUUUAGAUAUUUUCAAAAAUAAUAUAUUUCAAUUUUAAUUUUUAAUUUUUAAUUGUUCAGUAUUGUUUGCUGCGUAGCGCGGGUUUCUUAACUAGUACUUAUUUUGUCAUAAAUUUUGAAAUUUCUUUUAUACAUAUUAUCUGUUUAUAGAAUAAGCUUGAUUAUGAAUACAUGUUAGAAAUGUGAAGCCCUACUCAAAUUGUAUAUUUUGCAUAUAAUAUAUUUAUAAUAUAAUUAAGCUUUAAACUAUACAUAAAUAAAUAUUUGUGUAAUGACUAAUGAGUACGACAAAGUACAGGAGUCUUUGUGCUUUACGAUUAAACAUUUGAUUCCAUAAUCGGCUCUGUUAAGCAUAAUUUACGCUAUUAGUACUAUCUAAAAAUUAAUUUUUAUAAUUUUUUGAUAUUAUUUAUUCAGUAAUUAAAAAAUCGUAAAAAUAAUUUUUAAUGACCAAUACGGGAGUCUUGUAAGUUCAAUAAUAUAAAUCAAUCCAAAUUAGGUGAAAUUUUGAUAUAAAAUUUAUAUAAUUUAAGUAAAUUUACCCCUAUUUUUUAUGAAAUUUUUAUUUUUUACUGUUUAUUUUGAGGUUAUUUUUUUUGUUGGGAAAAUAAAAAAAAAUUUAUGCCAUUAUAGUAUAUACAAAUUUAAAGACUCUUUAUUUUGAGGUUACUUUAUUAUAUUUCACACAUUUUUCCAACCAAACACAAUGAUCUCCCAGGAAACCAGGAAACUGCAAUCUCGGUUAAAAUGUGCGGAGGCCCCUUGUAUUAUACACUCUUUGAAAUUGGCCCCCCAAACUUUUAAUUUUUGGGUAAACUACAAAUACCACCCCUGUGGUUUAGCACUUUCUCACCUUAGUACCAUGUGGUUUAAAGUGUAUCAAGUUAGUGUCCUGUGGUUCCAUUUUUAUUUUUUUCGUUAGCUUUUCUGUUAGUAUUUCGUUAAAUUAUAUACAAAAAAACUUUAGAUAUCCCACCUAGAUUUAUUGAAUAUUCACUUUAGUAUCCUUUGAUUUUAACUUUGUCACUGAUUUAACGAAAAAAUUAGUAGAAUCAAUAAUAAAAAGAUAAAAAUAAAAUCACAUGGCACUAAAUUGAUACACUUUAAACUAUAGGGUACUAAAGUGAAAAAGUGUGAAACCACAGGGGUGGUAUUUGAAGUUUUUCCUAAUUUUUUUUAUCAACACUUUUUGUCCUAUCAACAUGUAUUAAUCACACCGCGAAAUUUCAUCGUCUUAACCGUAAAUUAUUAUAUGAGAGUCACGAGAAGCAAAAAAGUGAUUGAGAUUGGCAAUAACGAAACGGAUGAGCCGAUGCCUGCAACGGUGGUAGCAAUGAUAGAUACAAAUAAAAGUUGAGCUCCUUUUGUUACGUAGUUAUUGAUUGUGAAGAUAAAAAUAAAUUUUUAUAUUUUUUAAAAAAAUUAAAGAAAUAAAAGUUGAGGGAGCGAUUUCAAAUGCUGGGAUAGUAGAGAGGUCUCCCUAUAUUUUUAUAUAUUUUUGUUCUUAAUUUAAUUUUUUAAAAUAAGUUGGUUUGUUGGAUUUGAAAGGAGAGCUUAGAUUAUUUAUAUACCACCUACUAACACCUCAUUCUAUACUUUAUACUUUUAUAUGUAGGAUAUUAUUACGGAUACAAAUGGAUCCGGAUUUGUGGAGAUUUGCACCACUUCGUUCUGAACCGGACAACACAUAUUUUAAAAAAAUUGUUCGGAAUCUAUUUGAAUCUGCUAAGAAAUAGAGCGGAAGGCAGGGAUACAUUUAUUUCUCUGAUCUGUCUCGAUCCGCUCUAAAAGAAAAAGAAUAAAAUUUAAUCGGUCGUGAAUCUGUCUUUUACUGGUUCUGUCUCGUUUGCAUCCCUAAAUAUAAGUAAUAGGUGCCACAUCAGCUUGUAAUGAGCCUAGUGAUUGGGCCAACACAUUCAUCACUUAGCUCACCAACCAUCUACUAUUAUUGUGAACUAAAUUUAAAAAAAAAAGUACUUACAGAGAAAAACUUUUUCACUCCUCUUUUAUUUUUGGUGAAACAAGCAUAUGCAGAAUCACAUAAGCAAAUUGAAAUUUAUCCUUUAAAUUUUUAUUAGCUAAACUACAAAAAAUUUACCUAUAUAUACCCUUUUUUUUCACUUUUGUAUCAUAAAUUUCAAAAAAUUAUAUUUUUUCUUUUUAAAAUUAAAAAAAUAUUUUUGGAGGAUUACGACGUUAAUAAAGAGCAAAAUAAACCAAAUUACCUUUACUUAUUAUAUAAAAAAUAAUUUUGAAUAUAUUUUUAAAUUUUAAGGAUAUUUUUGGUGUCGUAGAAAUCCGCCACGCGGAUUCUCGUCGGACGGAAAAGCGUCAACUCACACUCUUCGCGCGUAAAACGUGUAUUUUAAGAUAGAGGCAAUUGCUUAUAUGCCCCUGAAAAAUUUUCGACUUUUCGAUUUAUUCCUCUUAGAAGGCUAAUAUUGAAAAUACCUUUUCUACGUUCCAACUAGGGAUGUCAAUGGGUAUGGAUAUUCGAAAUUUUAUCUGAACCCGAACCCGAAUGAAACAGAUAUAUUCGAUGGCUAUGGAUAUGGAUUUGGAUAUGGAUAUAAAAAAUAGAAACCCGACGGAUAUGGAUUUGGAUAUGGAUUUUGAUUGUACCCUAUCUGAAUCCGAACCCGACCUGAACCCGAACCGAACCUGAAUUUAUUUUGUAUUAUAUAUAAUAUAUAUAUAAAAAUUUGAUGUUAUAUUUGAAUUUAUAUUUUAAAAAUUUAGAUUUAAUAUAAUAUUCGGGUUCAAAUUUUCGGGUUCGGGUUCAGGUUCGGGUUUCAGAUUUUUGGUAGGGUUCGGGUUUGGAUAUGGAUUUUUAAAAUCCGUCAGGUUCGGGUUCGGGUUUUUAAAAAUCUGCCCCGAAUCCGACCCGUUGGCAUCUCUAGUUCCAACCUAUUUCUAAUAUAUCCCUAGAGUUAAAAUAUGUUAAUUAACUCUAUUAUCUCUGUAAAAUUACUAUUUUGCUUUUUCAAAUAUAUCCUUUCAUCAUCACUGACUUUCUUAUUUGACCUCAAAGUCAGGGGCACAAAAACUAUUUUGACUUUUCAUCUUUUUCAAUAUAUCCCUCUACCGUCACCAAUAUUUCUUAUUUGCCCUUAAGUUAAGGGUAAAAUUGACAUUUUAAUUUUUUUAAACUGUGGUAGAUAUUUAACUCACGUUUAGCCCAAGUUAACUUAACAGGAGAUAACUGCGGGGGUAUUUUGUAAUAACGGUGAAACAUAUGAGAGGUAUUUUAGAAAGAACAAAAAAAAAGAGAUAAAUUAGAUAUUUUCAAAAGUAUGAGGGGUAUAUAGGCAAUUACCCUUUAAAAGGGCAGUAAAAUGAAUGGAUAGCUCCUACACAAUCCCAAUAUUGCAACUUGCUACCUAUAUAGUUUACUUAACAUUUUAGUCCCCAAAUUUUGAUACACAUCUACUUAAAUUGCUAAUAAGUUGUUGGGUAACCUUCAAUUUGCCUCCUGUAAUUUAGUACUUUGUUAUUUUACCACAUUAUAGUUCAAAUAUUAUACUUAUCAAUUCUAUAAUUUUAUUUUUAUUUUAUUGAAAAAAAAUCUAACGUUAAUUAGAACAGUCUAAUAAACUUUUACAAAAAUCAAUCGGAUGAUAAUAUCCAAGAGAUACAUUAGUUAUAUCAUUAUUUAAAGAUAAUACGGUAGCUGAAUUAGGUAUAUUUUUACGAAACAAUCUAAUUAAACAAAAAGUUCAGUCGCUUACUUGAAAUAAUUUGAAAUUCCUAAUCUUUUGGGCAUAUAGAUUGUAUCAAUUCUAAUUUUACCGCCAUCAAUGUCGUUUUCUGUUCUUAAAACUAUUUCAUUCUCGCACAUAUUGUUUAUAGUCUCUUUUGAAGAGAACGCGUUACUAGACUUUUUUAAAAAUUUAAAAUGUCAAUGCGAAGAUUGAUUAAGAAUUAUUGGAUCAUGACUGCGAUCUAUAUGAGUAAGCAAUACUUUAUUGGAGCUAACGUGACCUAUUUUAUUAUAAUUAAUAAAAAUUUAAAUUAUUAAAAUCUAAAUAAAAUAAAAUAUAAUGGUUAAAAAUUUGGCAAAAAAAAGAGGAAUAAUCGCAGAUGACUCCCUGCAAAGGUGAAGAAUAAUUGACAAAAAAAAAAAGGAUAAUUGACAAACAAAAAAGAUUAAGAACUAAAGUGAGAAAUUGGUAACAUGUAGGGGCCAAAGUGCAAUUUAUCCAAAAUUAAAAAAAAAACCGUCUCUUUCGCUCUUCUUUCGCGCGCCUUCCCCUUCUCUCUUCUUCUUCUUCUUCUUCUUCCUCACUCCCCCUCUCUUCUCUCGUCCUCCCUUGUUAACAAUAAUAAUAAUAAUAAUAAUAAUAAUAAUAAUACCCGUUAUUUUCCCCUCCCGUUUCGGUUUCGCUUCUUCUUCUUCUUCGCCCCCUUCCGAAACCCGUUACGUUUCGGUUGCGGUGUAACUCGCUCCGUUCCGAGAACGGAAACAUACGGCGCAAAAGAGCUCCUAGGGUUAGGGUUAGGGUUUGGGUUUGGGUUUUAUCUUCGUCUCUGAUGCCGGAGAUCGCCGGAGAUGAUGGCGCUUGACGUCGUCGUCGUCUGCGGCGGCGGAGGAGGAGGACGAGGAGGAGGAGGAGGAGGAGGAGGAGGGGGAUGGGGUGCGGGAGCUCGCGGGCGGAGGAGUCGGCGGCGGUGGUGCUGUGCCGCGACCGCGCGCGGCUGAUCCGCGCGGCGCGCGACCGCCGCUACGCCCUCGCCGCGGCCCACGCCGCCUACUUCCGCUCCCUCUCCGCCAUGGGCGACGCCCUCAGCCGCUUCGUCGCCGAGGAGCUCACCGAGGUCGCCUCCUCGUCGUCUGCCCCGACCCUCACCCUCCCCCCCUCCCAGGGCAAGGCCAAAUCCAUGUCCAAAUCCAAAUCCAAGCCCUCCUCCGCCUCCUCCAAUGGCGGCGGCGGCCUCAGCAUCUCGUCAUCGGUGACGCCGCUCUCGCACGCCCUCUCGAUAACGGAGGGAUCGCGAUCGCACAUCUCCUCCUCCUCCUUGGUUUCGAGCCCUAGGAAAGCUCGGAAAGAGAUGCCUUCGCCUUUGCAUUCACCUUCCCCUUCUCCUCCUCCUCCUCGUCGAUCGCCGAUUCCAAACCCUAAAGACCACGAAAUGUCGUACAACGAGCUGAAUCCGCCCUUUACUGGGUAUCUCUAUGGUUAUAAUUAUCCCUAUGAUCUCCCUUUUGGAUCGGAGAGAGAAAACCCAAAUUACUACAACAAGCCUUCCUCUCCGCCACAGCCAGCGGCACCAGCGCCAGCAUCGGCACCUCCAUCUACUCCGCCACCGCCGGCUCUAGAGGUUUCAGCAUGGGAUUUCUUCGAUCCGUUCACUUCGUAUGAUCAAUUCGUUGCGGAUUACGCACAGGGGAGGUACGGAUUCAGUUCUUACAGUUCUAGCCCUAAUUCGAGUGUGGUGAGGGAGAAAGAAGGGAUUCCCGAUUUAGAAACGGAGAUGGAGGUGGAGAAGGAGAAGAGAGUUGUCGAUGCGAGGGUUUCGGUGGAAUCCACACAAGAGAAGGAUAGUAAAGUUGAUAUGGAGGAGAGAGAUAGUAAGAGUAGUUUAACAUCUAUCGAAGAUAGAAGCAGCGGAGAGGAAGAAGGAUCGAAUGAGAAGAAGAAAGGAGUGACCUUCGGAGAGGAUAAAUCUUUGGACUUUGAGAGCGGGGAAAGUAACGAGAAGUCGAUCUCCACCUUUUCGAGUAGUGGAGUAGUGUUAUCGGUUCACGGGACGAGAGGUAUCAUGGAGGCUGUGAGGGAAAUCACGGAGCAGUUUGAAUUCGCUUCUGAUUGUGGCGAGGAGGUUUCGAGGAUGCUUGAGGUCGGGAAGGCGCAGUACCGAAUGAGAAGUAGAAUUCUUACAUGUGGGUAUUGCAUUUUUGUUUUCCUUUUCUUGUUUUUCCUGUUUUAUAUUAGCUUUGAAGCAUCUUGAUUUAGUUGUUGCUGGUAAAUGCUGAUUAUAAAUAAGAUGGAGGGGAAUGAGGUUUUGUCUUUUCAGCUUGCUGUAGGAUGAGCUCAGGAGAAUUGCGGUGAAGGGCGAGGAGGUGCUGUUUUAGUAAAGAUUUCUUCUAUGAUUUAUUAUUUUGUUAUGUGGAAUAUUUCUAUAGAAUUAUGAACUCAAUUUCCAAACUCAUAGCAUAAUCUAGCCUUUUAUCCAUCUUGAGCAAUUAUUCCAAAUUUUAGAUAAGUACAAUAAUAGAUUUUUUUAUUAUUUAUUUUUUUUUUUUUUGUGAAUGUUCAAUUGAUCUUUUAUCAACGAAAGACUCGUGUUUGAAAUCUAGUUUGACUUACUAUAGAGUAGAAUGGUCCUUGUAUUUUCUUAAUUGUUGGACACCUCUUCCUCAUUAUACAUUCAACUUUUUCGCCAAGGGAGUGUUUGGUUCCUCUGAAAAGUGUGGAAAACUAUUUUCCAAAAAAAAAAAAUUUCAUGCAAACCACUCUUUCUCACAAUUUUAGUUUCCCGAAUAAAAAAUUCGUAAAACGAAAACACUACUUUUCCAUAAAACCUGGAAUUUUUUUUUUUUCCAGGCAAACUAUUUUUCCUAGAAAUCAAACGGACGAAAAAUACUAUUCUAGCGAAAAAAUUAUUUUCUGCGAUUUUUCCCGGAAAACCAAACACCCCCUCAAUGUUUUCUCACACAUCCAAAAUUAGUAGUUUUCGCAUUGUUUUUUUUUUUCUCCCCCUUUUUGUUAUCUCUGUCUGCAAUUAGUGGUCAAAUACUAAAGCGGUAAAGUAUAAUUUCUUUUGGAGAAUCUACUAUAUCAAAUAGAGUACUUUAGAAUCAGUGAAUUUUGUAAAUCUUGGUGCAGUUAUCUUUUCCAGGAUUUUGGAUCCCAUGGCUCUGACCAUAUUGAGUUUUCCACGCCUUUCUUUCAAGCAAUUCGGACCAUCAAGUGCAUCAAGUAGCACUACUAGCAAUUAUGAGCCAGAAAAGUACACUGGUAUGAAGUCCGGCAACCUCUCAUCAACGUUGGAGAAAUUAUAUUUAUGGGAGAAGAAACUGUGUAAGGAAGUUAAGGUAUACAGAAAUAUUCUUUUUUGAUUGUGUAGGUAACUAAUCGAAGCAAUUCUGUUACCUUGCAUGUUUAUUGGUAAUUCCAAUGAGUGAAGAUGCUGUUUUUGAACUCUAAACUUUUGAGUUGAUAAAAACAAUAUUUUGUAAAAGACUAUGCUUUAGUUUGUCGCUUUACUGAUAAUUUAAUAUGUUAUAGCUUUUAAUGUAAAACACAUUGUUCUUUAGUAACUACCGCUUACCGACUCACACCUUUAUUUUGUAAUAUAUAAAAUUUUGAAGCUAUAAGCAUGGAUUGCAAUAACUAUUGAACAUAAUGACUCAGAUAUUGACCUUGAUAAUGCAAAUUCACUUCAGCAGAUUAUAAUUUGUAGUGAAAAGGAAGGAAAAACUUUCCCCCUGUUUGACGUGGUCGGAGUUUUUGCGAAAGUGCUGUUUUAGUGAAACUGUUUGAAGAUGCUCUAGCUGCUUUUUCAGUAGUUUUUCCUCAACAGAUUUUUUUUUGUUGUAGUAGAAGUAAAAACUUUAAAUUAGAGAUUCUACAUUAAAAUUCAGAAAGUUUAUUUCAAUUUUCUGUGCUAGCAAAAUGUUGGUUUCUAGAAGUUUUUGCUCUCUGGAAUAGAGCCAAUCCAAACAGGCACUUUGUGAAGAACAUGCACUAUUCGAUUUGUAGUCAUUGGUCAACCUAUUUGUUAAGAUUUGCUUAGAUUGUUGUUCUAGGAUGAAGAAAAGCUUCGGCUCAUCUAUGAGAAAAAGUACACGCAGCUAAUGUCUUUGGACAAAGGAGGAGCAGAGUUUUAUGAGAUUGAUUACACACGCGCAAUGAUGCAAAAGUUGUGCACAAAGAUAGGUGUUAUCGUUAAAUCAAUUGAUGCCAUUUCAGCUAGGAUGCAGCAGAUAAGAGAUGAAGAACUGCAACCCCAACUUGCAGAACUAAUCCAAGGGUAUGAAUUUUCUUAACACCUUGAUUAAAAAUUCCAUAUUUAUCUAUCUAUUUGUUAGCUUGUAUAUAUUGAUAUCUCAUAUUAGUAACCUAUUUCCUUUUAUUCAAACAACGUUAAAGAGACCAUUUCAAUCAAGUCAAAGGUCUUAAAGUUGACUUUUAGUGUGAAAUUCUUUGAAGUAAACGGAAACAGAUUAGUAAUUUUACAAUAGAUCGGAUAAUGGUCAUAUUGUUAGAUGAGUUAGAUUAUUUUGUCGGUCAUGACUAAGUGCAAUUUAGGUGAACAUUCAGCGACUAAAGUGUUUGAGUGUAAAGUAUAGGGACUAAGUGUUGGGACUUAAGUCCUUCAAAGCUUGGAAUUUGCGUGAUGUUCCUUUAAAUAAUUCUUUGGUACCACAUUUUCUUAAUUGUCUUAGUCCGCAUUCUUGAGUGCAGUUCGAUAAGAAUGUGGGUGUACGUUUUGGACUGCCAUCAAAAACAGUUACAAGCGUUAAUCGACAGCAAAAGCCAUCACCUCAAGGCAAAAGCUGGAGGCGAAAGAAGUUCUGUUGCUAGGGCUACCAUGGAACUGGAGCUUCAGCUCAGGAACUGGUGUCACUGUUUCAUAAAUUGGUUCGAGACCCAGAAAUCUUACAUCGAAGUCCUCAAUAAAUGGUUAAUAAAAUGGCUCCCCAAAGUGCAGGAAGAAGAAACACCAGAUGGGGUCCCGCCGUUUUCCCCGAGCAAAUUUGGGGCUCCUCCAGUGUUUAUCAUCUGCAACGAUUGGUCGCAAGCAAUAGAAAGGAUCUCAGAGAACAACGUGGUUAACACAAUGAACGUUUUUAGUUCAUUUAUGCAUCAGCUUAGGGUUAGUCAAGAAGAGGAAUACCGUCGAAAGCUAAAGGUAGACUAUCUCUCCAUGGUUUAUGACAAAAGGCUAAAAUCUUUCCAGAAGGAAACUCAGUUUAAGGAGAAUUUGAAUGUUGUUUCUGUUUCUGAAAAUGGUACCGAAUAUCUUGAUGAUCAUACGAUGGUUUUAGACUCGGUGAGGAAAAGAAGGGAUGAGGAGAUAGAAAAACAUGAGGAGGCAAUACAAAGAGUUCAUCAUGCCGCUUCAAGCUCUUUGCGAAGUGGGUUAGUUCCUAUAUUUGAAGCAUUGGAGAAUUUCUUUAUGGAGAACUUGAAGGCGUAUGAGGGAAUUAGAAUCGCAAAUGAAAGUGGAGAUUCAUAGUACACACCAUGAUGACAGCUUUGGCCGAAUUGAAUUAGGUUACUGAUUCUGCAAAGACUCAUUAUGGGCGCCAAAGAUAUUUGAAAUCAUUGAUUAGCUUUAGGGUUUAUUUAUCGAUUGGUUUGGCGAGAGCUUUUGUAGAAGUGUUGUUCAAAUAAUAGAGUUGUUCGAAGAAGCCUCAAUAACUUUUUUUGUUAAAAUCUCUUGAACAACUUCACACCGCAGCAAGCAGUACAAACUUAAGUUGAAGCUUGUGCGCCAUUCCCGACUCCAGACUUUUUACCGGCCAAACAUUGACGCUAAAUGAAUUUGUCUCAGAAACUGACAAAAGGGGCUUGUAAAUGCUUUUCCGGUGGAGGUUCUCACUUUUUCUUCUUUUAUUAUCGGAGGAGCAGAGUGCCUUUAGAUUUUUUUUUUAUUACUUGAAAGUAUCAAAGUGGUUGCAUUUGCAGAAUGUAAUCUCACAGUGGCCUUUAAUCAAGGCUGAGCCAUUUAGAUACAUAUUUUGCUCUUUUCGUUAGCAGAUGCAGUUUGUUUAUAUUUGCCUCCUGCAUUCAUUGAAAUUCAGAUAUUAUAAACAAAUACCAAAAAAAGGGAUUAAAUUUUAGUUUAUUUGCUAUUCUCUCAUGCAUACAAUUGGAGGAAUCUUGUUUAAACAAUAUACUUGAAAAAUCAUUAAUAUGUUGUUUAUAUUUUGUUCAUUUUUUGAGUUCUAUGUUUGAAAUUUGGUUGAUUCAAUCUGCUAUUCAACUGCGAAGUUUCAACUUGGUAAUUUUUUUUUAAUUUUUGAUGUUUAAUUUCAUUCUGUUUUCAUUUUUGUGAUAGUCUUAUAAAGAGACUCUUGCAGGUUAUUUUUGCAGAUCUGUACUUGCACAUUUCAUUGCUAUUUUUAGAAUUUUCAUUGUUCUAUCAUGUUUAAUUGAACCAUUCAUUACUUCAUUUUGAAAUUUUGAGUUGUUGCAAAAAUAUUGCUUGUUUCCUUGCUUUUUUCCUAAUCCAAGAUUUUGAUUGACCAAAUCAUAGAUUUGGUAGAUCCAGGGUUGCUUUCAUUUUUGAAAAUGUUAUAAAACAAGCAACAAGUUGUUCCUUUGUGUUAAUACCUAGAUGAGGCCAUUUUUGAAAGGCUAAAAUGCGUUUUACCCCCUUCAAUAUGUUCUUAUUGCACUAACUGUUUGUUAAAAAAAAUAUGCACUUAAUCUCUCUGGAAAUUUAUGUUGUUAGUAUUUAAUCUCUAUUAGAUAAAAAAAGUAUACACUUCAUCCAAGGAGAAAAAGAAAAGUAAACAAUAAAGGCAUAUUUGGUCAUUUUACUAAUUUUUUUUAACACUAUAAUCUGAUAGGAUAUUUUUGAUUUUUUGAGAGGGGGUUAAGUGCAUAUUUGAUAAGAUAUUUUUGAUUUUUUGAGAGGGGGGUUAAGUGUUUUUGAGAGGGGGGUUAAGUGCACAUAUGAUAAGAUAUUUUUGAUUUCUUGAGAUAGGGUUCAGUGCAUAUUUUUUAUAUCUAGAGAGUAAAAUACAACAUGCGAUAUAUUGAGGGGAAUUUGCAUUCACGCACACUAUCUCCAAUCACAACCUGUUUCCAUCUAAUGUGGCACUAUUGGAGCUAUUCCAAAACACACAUAAUUUUCAAUAAUCACAAUCUCUUUUCCAUCGGGAUCAUUUUCAAUCAAAAUUUCAUUUCUUUCUUAUGUGAUUUACUUUCAAUCACAAUUAUAUUUCCAUCUGAUGUAGGACUAUUAGAGUUAUUCCUAAUUACAACCCUAUUUUUAUCUUAUGUGGAAUUAUUAGGGACUUGUAGACUCUUCCUCUUUAAGCCCACUCCCAAUUUAAGGCUCUUGGGGUGGACGAUGUAAAGUCCUUGAGGUUGUUCUUAAUUACAACUCUAUUUUCAUCCGAGACUCGCAACCCCGAUGUGAGACUAUUGGGCCAACGCAAAGCCCUUGGAGUUAUUCCCAAUUACAAUCAUAUUUCCAUUCGAUGUAGGACUCAACCUCAUUUCUAUCCGAUAUAGGAUAUCAGGCCGAUGUAAGACCUUCGGGGUUAUUCCAAUUACAAUCUUAUUUAUAUCCAAUGUGGGACUAUUGAGUCGAUGUGAGACUAACGGGGUUAUUCCCCCAUAGUCUCCAAUGCAAAAUUUUAAGUUUGAAUACAUAUAUGCCAUGCCCUGUUCUUUUUCCUUUUUUUUAGCCCAAUCUUAUUCCCAAUAGUUCCAGCUUUGUGGGCUGUGGCCCAUAGUGUCCCAUUAGCAACCCUAGUUUUUCAUAUGUUCCAAUUGUAGGUUUAAAUUGUAUUAAGUUAGAGGCAAGGAUUAAAGUGGUCAUCGACACGGACCAUAUCCACCAUAUAGUAUUGUACCAGCAAAAUAUCGGCACGAUAUAGUCUUUAUGCCGACGGCACAACUCGAAACUCUAUAUUUUUGAAAUUAGUAAGUAAUUUUCUUAAUAAAGUUUAAGAGAUUUGAUAAAAAUACAUAAUAAAUAAUUGGCAUAUUUUAUUGCUAAAGAAAAUAAAUAUUUUUGUGACCGACACGUAUCGGCACGGCCUGGCAGGCACCUUGCCGUACCAUGCCGGCAGAUUUUUGGCAUGAUCCUAUACCACGACAUUUAAAUUCUUGGUUAGGGGAAUAUUUGGUUCACAAGGAAAUCAUGAAAAGCUGUUUUUUUCAAAAAAAAAAAGAAGUGAAAAGCUUUUUUUUUUUUUUCAUAGUUUUAAUUUUCUAAAAAAAAAAUCCAGAAAACAAAAAGGAGACUUUUUCAUGAAAUGUGGAAAGAACUUUCUCAAAAAAUUUAGUUUUUCUAGGAACCAAAUAGACAGAAAAUAUACUUCUAGUCAGAAAAGUAAUUUUCAGAUUUUUUUUUUUAGAAACCAAACUCUCAUGUUUUGUAUGCUUUUAUCUAAUUAUAUACAUGACUACAUUUGGAGCUAUAUUAGAUGAAUUUAGGGCGGGGUGGAUCAAUUUUUUCUCCGUCUCCCACCCUAAAUCCGUAUCGGAUCAUAAAAGUAGUCUCCUGAAUCUGAUAAUUCUAUAUUCCCAAAUUCAUUUGCAUCUAUUAUUAAAUUUAUUAAAAAUAUUUUUUGUGAACCAAACUCAGUAACUUCUUAUUCUCAAAUAUCUAAAUUGUGCGAACUAAAUGGAAAAACAGAAACAACCAAUAUCUGGUUCAAAUACGUGAGCAUCUUAUUCGACAUAUCUAUUCUAUUUACUCAAAAAACAUGUAGUAUCUGGUAGAUGAAUAAGGAGAUCAGAUGUCUAGAAUUGAUAUCAUAUUUGGUCUUUAAAUUAUUAUUUUUAGAAUAAAAUAAAUCAUUUCGUAGGUAAAAUAUAUUAUACUACCAAAGUCGGAAUUAGAAAAUCUUUUAAGGAAACUCUGGCAUCGAAUAUAUUAUCAUUAAAUGUUAUAUUCUGACCUUCAAAUAGAGCCCAAAGAAUCCCAUAUUCUUUGCUACCCAAAUUUUAGAGAAUCGAAUUCUCAAAAUUUCAAAUAAUUUUGCAAAGUGCAAACCAUGUAUAAACAUACAAAACUUAUCUGAACUAUAAACCAUUUUGAAUCAGCUAUUCAAAAUUUCAAAAUAUUGAUUUUACUACUCAACGUUUCAAUUUAUUUGAUUUGAGUCAGUGAACAGUAUUUUUGACUAUAAAAUUUAAGUUAAUUACUUAAUUUAGUAAAUUUAUAGCUCUGAAAAUUAUAUGUAAUAUGCUAUAUAAAUCCGUAAAGAGUUACGACGCAUUCAUAUUUUAAAGUCAAAAUAUCAUUAACUCAUUCAAAUCAAAUAAAUUAAAAAAUUAGAUAGUAAAAUUAAAGUUUUAAAAAAUUAAAUAGCCAACUUAAACUAAUUCAUAGUUCGGAUAAGUUUUAUACGUUUUUACCAAAGUUAAAAAUAAACACUAGUUAAAUUUUGCACACAAUUAUUAUUUUAGCAACAACAUGUGAUAUGUCGAAUGCCACGUGUCGCCAGCUGUGCGGUGCCAGCUGUAACUGUUUAUCACAAUUUUAAAUAGAUUCAAAAAAUUAAAAAAUUAAUAAAUUAAGAUGUAAAAUUUUAUUAAAAUGAGUUGCCAUAUCAUAUUGUUCCACAUCUCAACAUAUAUCUAAUGUAAUUUGCAACUCAAAAAAUAUAUAAAAAAAAUGUAGAUAAAGAAAAUCUCCUAAUUUACUAAUUAGUUUUUUUAAUUACGAGUGAAAUGAUAAAUCUAUAAUAAAAUAAGAAAGAUUUUUCUUAAUCACCAGAAAUGUCUCUACUAAUAUGUUCUUGUAAACUUUUUGAUUUUUAAACCAAUUUAAGAUAGUAAUGAAAAUAGCAAACCUAUUAAUACAAUUUAUGUAAGGAUGUUAUUAAUUAAGGACAAAGCUAAAAUACAGGUUUAAAAAUCAAAAAGUUUACAAGAACAUAUUAGUGUCACGCCGAAACCUAUUAAUACAAUUUAUGUAAGGAUGUUAUUAAUUAAGGACAAAGCUAAAAUACAGGUUUUUUUUUUUUUUUUUGAAUUUAGCAUAAAAUAUACCUAUGAUUUAACUUUUUCUUUUGCCAUCCUGUGGUUCAAAAAAUUAUAAUUUUUUGAAUGAUUAAUGCGAUUUCGGCGUGAGGGUAAAUUGAAGUUUAUCCUAAAAUAUACAGGAAAAUUAAGAAGAAGGAUUGUGUUAACGCCGUGUGUUUAGGUUGUAUUAAUUUUGUACAAUCUGCUUAAGUAUGCAAAUGGGACAGCCUCCAGCUCCAUUUCUUGUCGGCUUGAGGUGGAUUCGGGACGGAUUAAUUUUAAUUUUAGUUUUUUGCCUUUAUUUACCCUUCUAUUCGGGCCGAUCAGGACAGAGACGAGUAUUUAGCGGAUUAGAAUGGAUCGAAGAAAGAAAAUGGUUUCUCAUCUUCCGCUCCAUUUACUUGACGGAUUAAGACUGAUCUGAAAUGGAUUAUAUUUUUAUGUAUAUAUAUUUUUCAUGAGUCCGGCUACUAUACUUUUAUGAGUACGAUGCUUUCGUACUCAUAAGUCAUUUUCGAUGAUAAAGUUUUCGAAUCGAUGAUCUAUACUGUUAAACAUUUUUAGAGCAUUUAAAACUUUUAGAAAUCAAGUUUUAUAAAUUUUUGACAUCAUUUAUUUACCUUAUGAAAAAGAAAUCUCAAAAUUGAUAAUUUUUAACUGUCGAUAUGAGAUACUUACUAGUUUAACGGUGUAAAAGAAUCAAAAUCGAUUGAAUUUUUGAUAGAAAAUUCUAUUUACUAGCCAUAUAAAGAUCAAUAACUCCGAUAUUAAAUUAAAGGAUCUAAUCAUCCAUUUUUAAGAUGUUGUUCGAUUUUGAUCGUUCAUUUUAUGUCCGCUUGAUAGAUUUUAUUAUGAUUUCAAAAAAAAUACGAAAUUUUUUUAUAGAAGUUUUAAAUAUUUUAGAUUAUAUUUAACGAAAUGGAUCGUCGAUUCGAAAGUUCCAUCAUUGAAAAUAAUUUAUAAGUAUAAAAGACUCUAUACUGAUAAGAGCAUAAUAGUUCUACUAUAUUUUUUAUUUACCAUUUUAUUUGAAACGGAUCGGAUCAGAAACUCCACGAACCCGGAUCCAUUUGCAUGCCCAAGAUCCUCACGCCGUUUUCGGAACCGAAUCACGCGGAAAAGCAUAUUCCACGUGGCGUGUGCUACUCUCACCCCCUCCUUUCUCUCGUGCACGCCACCUCAAUCCCUCUCCGCAUCCGAACUCCAACUAACCAACCCUUUAUGCGGACGCACCAUCCACCCUUCGUUACGACAAAUCCAACAAAGAAGAUAAAUAAAUUACAUUUUGGUCCUCAAACUGUAAAGAUGUUACACAAUUGCCCUCAACCUUUAAGCAAAAUUUCUUUAGAUUGCUACAAUUAAAUACCAGCCUAAUUUAGUGGACUAAUUACUAAUUUGUUAUUUACGUACUAAUAAUAUAGUAGCAUUAUGGUUCAAGAAACUGAUUAUUACUGUAUCAGAGACACGCCAGUAUAUAGAUUGAAUAAAAUUAAUUAUCGGACUUAAUUGCAAUAAUUUUAAAAGUUUAAUGACUACAGUUGCACGUUUCAUAGUUUGAGGACCAAGAGUGUAAUUUAGCAAAAAAAAAAAAGGAAAAAAAAAAGAGUAAUGCUACAUUUUUUAGUCUCUUGAUUAUUGAAGCCCUAACAUAAAUUUCUCUAAAUUUUUUGUUCGCUAACUAAAUUCUUGUCCGUAAUUUUAUUGUUCAUGAAAAUUAAAAUAAUUAUUGAAUUUAAUCUCAAAUAUUAUCCAAACAUUUCAUUCCACUUUUUUAAGCAGCUGAUAAUUAUUUUAUUUUUAAUUUAUUAUUAGGAACCUAAGGAUAACAAUUAAUUAGCAGCGGUAAAAAAGUUAAAAAUAUAAAAGAGAAUAUUUAAAUAUUACUUCCAGGUCAUAUAAUGUAUGGAAUUGAAUAAAGCGAAAACAUCACAAAAAGUUAGAUCUAUUUCAUAUGUUAAACAUUGAUAAAGGAGGCAGAUGAUAAAUACCAUAUAUUCAGGGGGUUUGCUGCAAUUUAGAUCCAACGUCCGCAUGGAGCACACUAUGCGGACCGCAAAACCACCGGGGUCCGUUAUUUAGAAUCCCGCGUCGGCGCUAAUCCAACUUAAUUAAGGGUUUAAUUAACUUAAUUAACGUGAUUAAGUUAGGACAGGUUAGCAUCGUUAAUUAAACCUCCUCGAUAUCCUCACUCCACCUUUUCCCAACCCUUCGCGCCCUUCUCUCCCCUCCUUCUUCUUCUUCUUCUUCUUCUUCGUCUUCGUCUUCGUGCCUCGCUAGAUCUCCGCAAAAACUCAACGAAACCGAUCCCUAGGGUUAGGGUUAGGGUUUCGUGGGAGCGGUGCGGAGGAGGAGGAGGAGGAGGAGGAGGAGGAGACGAAGCUCGUGGCGGCGGCGCCCAUGGCGGCGUGAGACGGAGAGGGGAUCGGAGCGAGCGGAAAUGGCGGACACGGCGGCGCCGCAGAGGAGCGAAGGAGGGGGAUGGGCGGUGGCGGCGUACAGGGCGUUGUCGGCGGAUAACGUGAAGGGGCUCGUGCUCGCGCUCUCCUCCAGCGUCUUCAUCGGCGCGAGCUUCAUCGUGAAGAAGAAGGGUUUGCAAAAGGCCGGGUCGUCGGGGUCUAGGGCAGGUGAGGGAUCGGCGCAGCCGCUCUAAUUGCUCUCGUAAUUGAAUUUUAUUUGGGAUUUUGUGAUGAUUUUAGUAGUAUUUUGCGGUUCUUUUUUGCUGAGAUUUUUAUGAAAAGAUGCUUCGGGAUCUAGGGCGGGUGAGAGAUUGGUAAUAUAGAUUUAAUGGCUCUUCUAAUUGGAUUUUAGAUGGGAUUUUGUGACGAUUUUAGUAGUAUUUUGUGGUUUUUUUUUUUUUUUUGUUUUCCGAGAUUUAUAAACAGAUGCUUAUUAGGGAAUCAGGGUAGGUGAGAGAUUGGUACAUGGCUUUAAUGCCCCUUUUGGUUGGAUUUUAGAUGGGAUUUUUUGCUGAUUUUAGUAGUAUUUUUUCCCCUUUUUUUGCUGAGAUUGAUGAAAAGUAGCUACGUUUAUUGCAUUCUGAGCUAUUAAUUCGUGGUAAAAUUGGAUUCUGUUUCGAGUAGAUGGAUCAAAUUCAUAAGUAACUUGUGGUGCAUACAUUAGAUAUCUGUGCGCGAAUCUUGUUUAGUAAAGGAAAAAAAAAUAGAGAAAAGGUCUUCAAAUUGAUUUUAGAUGGGAUUUUAUGCUGAUUUUAGUAGUAUUUUUUCCCCUUUUUUUGCUGAGAUUGAUGAAAAGUAGCUACGUUUAUUGCAUUCUGAGCUAUUAAUUCGUGGUAAAAUUGGAUUCUGUUUCGAGUAGAUGGAUCGAAUUCAUAAGUAACUUGUGGUGAUUACAUUAGAUAUCUGUGCGCGAAUCUUGUUUAGUAAAGGGAAAAAAAAAUAGAGAAAAGGUCUUCAAAUUGAUUUUAGAUGGGAUUUUAUGCUGAUUUUAGUAGUAUUUUUUCCCCUUUUUUUGCUGAGAUUGAUGAAAAGUAGCUACGUUUAUUGCAUUCUGAGCUAUUAAUUCGUGGUAAAAUUGGAUUCUGUUUCGAGUAGAUGGAUCGAAUUCAUAAGUAACUUGUGGUGAUUACAUUAGAUAUCUGUGCGCGAAUCUUGUUUAGUAAAGGGAAAAAAAAAUAGAGAAAAGGUCUUCAAAUUGAUUUUAGAUGGGAUUUUAUGCUGAUUUUAGUAGUAUUUUUUCCCCUUUUUUUGCUGAGAUUGAUGAAAAGUAGCUACGUUUAUUGCAUUCUGAGCUAUUAAUUCGUGGUAAAAUUGGAUUCUGUUUCGAGUAGAUGGAUCAAAUUCAUAAGUAACUUGUGGUGAUUACAUUAGAUAUCUGUGCGCGAAUCUUGUUUGAUAAAGGGAAAAAAAAGAAAGAGAAAAGGGCUUCAAAUUGGUUUCUAAAAAGUUCUAAUAGGAGAAACACAAUUUUAUUCUCACUUUGGAUGAGUUAUACUUAUGUGUUCCAUCAGAUUAUGCAAUAGUAAAAGUAAAUAUUACUUUGGAUGUUACCAUUUGUAUGUUAGACUUGGCUCUUGGAAUGGCUUCUCAACUUGAGAAAGCCAAAGGUUGCAAAAACUAGGUGUUUGGCAAAAAAAAAGAGAAGAAAUUCUGGAAAUUUUUAUUGUCGCCGGAAGGUGAAGUAGACUUUUGGGCCAGAAAAGCACAAGCUCCAAAUUGUAACUUCUGCUUCUACUGCAAUUAGAAGCUGUUGUGAGAUUUUUGUGUAAGGAGUAAAGAUCUUCUUUGAAGAGCUUGACUCAUGUGAACAAAUGGGUGUUCAUUUCCCAGAAAAGGAAAAAUGCGUAGUAAUAAAAGGGAGAAUAAGAUAGCAAGUGUUAUUAGACUACCUUGGGUUGUUGGUUUAGUACCUCAUGUUCUAAUUGAUUUCUGGGUCGACAAAUGCGGUUAGGGUGUGUAAGUGAUCUGAUUCUGAUUUUCCGGCUUUUACUUCUGUAAUUGAUCUGAUUCUGGAUUUUUUGUACCGAAUGGGAAAUUUUAAAGAAAAAGAUAUAUAAAAAAAAUUUUCUAUGGGGUGCGAGAGGAAAACUGUACUAGUAGUAGCAGUUCUAACUUCUAUGCACAAUCUCUUCAAAUUCUGAAAUGAAAGGUGCUACUUAUCCACGACUGAACAUUCUCUCAUUAUUCAGUAAAAAAGGCAUUUGGAUCUAAAGUCUUUGCUGAAACAAAGAACACCGAGAAUUCCAUACAGUCCAUCUUCUUUGGCAGAUGAUUCACACAUCCUGAUUUUACAUUUAAUCAAAAUUCACUACUUUUUCUAGCACCUAACUUAGGAGUACCUGGGGAAGUAAGUAGUAGAAUAAAAGUGGCAGUGGCUCUAUGUGUCUUUCUUCUUCUUCUGGAAAACUUCCUUUUUUCUCAAUGCUCCUUACACUAAUAUUUUUCCUAUUGUUUAUCAAUGCCCUAUCUCAUCAACCUGUCCUAUUUUGGUUUUUCAACAGGGAUUGGAGGUUAUUCUUACUUAUACGAGCCUCUUUGGUGGGCAGGCAUGGUCACAAGUAAGUUUUUUUUUUCUUGUUGUUUGCCUAACUCUUCAUGGUUGCUUGCACAAGUUGUUUACUCUGUUGUAUUUUCAUUUGCCCAUUUAAGUAUGUUGGUUAAUUAGAAAUUUGGAUCUUGAAGUGUGGCUGCAACUUCAAUAUUGUUGAAAGCUAUGGUUUUCUCCUUCUCUUACUACUAAUGUAGCUAACCAAAUACGUCAGUGGGUUCUAAUUCUCGAGUGCAUUGUCACGCUUUUAUAGUUUUAUUAUAAGAUUGCGACCAUGAAUUGAGGCUUUUUGUUUUAUAUUUAUGUGGUUACUAACAAGCUGUUCUUAUCAACAGUGAUUGUCGGAGAAAUAGCUAAUUUUGCAGCUUAUGCCUUUGCUCCAGCUAUUCUAGUUACUCCUCUUGGGGCACUUAGCAUAAUCAUCAGGUAUAACCCAGCAUUGAAUUUCAAAUAGCAUAAGCAUCUUUUGAUACACUUUUACGUUUUUAAUUCUUUGAUAUCAAAAUUGCUGCAGUGCUGCACUUGCAUAUGUUAUUUUAAGGGAAAAGCUACACAUUUUUGGCAUGCUUGGUUGUGUUCUUUGUGUUGUGGGAUCGACCACGAUUGUUCUGCAUGCUCCACAAGAGCGUGAGAUCAGCUCUGUGACAGAAGUUUGGGAUCUUGCUACUGAACCAGGUAUUCUACUAAAAUCUAAUUAAUUAAUCAAUAACUCUUGAAGUUGUGACUUACUUGUGAUACAAUCACCUUUUUGGGGAGCUUGCCUUCACAAUAUCUCCCUGCAAAGUCAUCUGUUUACAUGAAUGCCCCUAUUAAGUCGGAAUUUUCUUGUAUACCUCUCAAAGUAUAGUUUCUUACAAAAGUACCCUUAAGUUUUUGGGGUCACCGAAGUCAUGGGGAAGUGGUUUUCCAUGAAAAAAUGUGUCUUAAGAAAGGACAUUUUUAUGCACAGGAGUAUGUGUGAGGAAAUUGUUUUCUGAGAGGACCAUAUGUAACGUCUGAUGUUGCAGGGGAUAUAUAAUGCACAUUUUGAGUUACACUCAUUAUUAGAUACUGAGGUUCACUCUUUAUUAGAUACUGAGGUUCACUCUUUAUUAGAUACUGAGUUUCACUCUUUAUUACACAUAAACUUGAUGCCAAUUUUGAGGUUCACUCUUUAUUAGAUACUGAACCUUAUGCUGUGUUUUUUCUGCAGCUUUUCUAGUCUAUACAGCAAUUGUACUGGCUGCAGUGUUUAUACUUAUAUUUCGCUUUGCACCUCACUAUGGGCAAACAUAUAUAAUGGUGUACAUUGGCAUCUGUUCUCUUAUUGGCUCUCUCACGGUAUGUACUUUGGCUACAGAAACAAGGUAGUUAAUUUGAUGCCGUUCUUGUUCGCUUAUGCUUGCAUUAACUCUUUACAGUUUUGGAUCUACAGGUAAUGAGUGUAAAAGCUCUUGGAAUGGCUUUGAAGUUGACCUUCUCAGGAGUCAACCAAUUAGUAUAUCCACAAACUUGGGCCUUCACCUUAAUUGUAGCGGCUUGUGUCAUUACCCAAAUCAACUAUUUAAAUAAGGUAAUUUGUUGCAAUUUUUCCUCUUAAGUUCAAGUUUAUUCAAAUAUUGGAUUUAAUAAUAACUUAAAAGCCUAUUUGGACCCUCAUUCCAUUAAAUAAACAACUUACUCUCAAAAUAUGAGACUUGUUAAGUGAUAUUUACAUAUAAGAGUAGUGUUUGAAAGAGCAAGUUUCAAAUGAAGCAAGCAAAUUAAUUAAAAGGUCUCAUGGACGACAGAUAAGAAGUCACAUUCCUUUGUGCAUGUCAAAAACCAUUGCAAGUUUCAAACAGCUAUACUACUUAGGAGCUAAUCUACCUUUUUAAGUUUCAAACAGCUAUAUUACUUGAGAGCUAAUGUACUAUUAGCAACUGUUUGUCUCAGUGUUUAAUAUAUGUUGGAAGUCCAAAGACAAUAUAACUUGGGCUAUUUUGCUUAGGAGCUAAUCUACUUUCUAGCAAUACUAUGUUGGACUCGACCCUGGAGUUAAUUACUAGUUUGUUGUGAAGGAAAAAAAAGGGUGGAUGUGAUGUUUUCUUUUAAUGAAUGUUUGGGGAACCUUGUUACAACCAAAAGGAUGAAACGACUGAAAUAUAAUUAUUAUUUCAAAGUUCAACCUGCCAUCAAGAUAAUGUUAUAUUCAUGCAGAUUAUUUUGGCCUGAUUCUUCUCAUUUAUAAAAGAACUGAUAGCUUAGUUAUUGCUGAGAAUUACACUUAAAACUUAAGAAGGUUCUUCAAAAUGCUCUCCAUUAUUGCUAGGCAAAAGUUUUUUUUAUGCCUUUCUCUAUGUGCAUUCAUACUUGGCUGCUUAGGGCCCAUAAGAUAUUUCUUUCUUGUAUUUUGCAGGCACUUGACACAUUCAAUACAGCAGUUGUAUCACCAAUAUACUAUGUGAUGUUUACAUCAUUAACCAUUUUAGCCAGCGUGAUCAUGUUCAAGGUAAUCUUCUGGUCUUUCUUUUUGACUUUUCACAUUUUAUGCUUUACAAUUUGAGAGCUUCUGAAUUUUUCUUCGUUUAAGCUACUCUUUUUCUUCUUCUUCUUCUUCUUUUUUUCUUUCCUUCUCUCCAUUUGUGAUAAAAUACUAUUUCUUAUUUGUCCCCAUAUUUGAUGUCAUUGAGAAAAUUAGAAAAGCCUAUAUAAGAGACAUUUUGUGGGCAAAAGUUUGAACUUGCUAGGCAUUUCUCUCCUCUCCUCAAUUUUUAGACACCCCAAUUGAUUCAUGUCAUUCAUUGAAUAGGAUGUAACAUUAUACAGAGGGUUGUGAUCUCAUAAGAAAUUUAGGUCAGAAAUAAUAUAUCUACUGCUUUCAAUUUCGUGGUCUAUAUUUCCUUUUUAAAGACUACAGGUCAAAAAAAAAUUCUGGUGCAAUAUGGAAGUGUCAGUAUUGCCUAGGGAGAUUAUAUUCCAACAAUGCAUUCGGUUUCUUCAGUUGGCCUUUCCCAUCGCAGCAGUGAUUAACUCAGAUUACUUGACACAUAUUAAGUAUAAAGUUGAAAGAAAGAUAAAUGUUUGUUUAUCCCUUGUAACCUUGUUUUGUAAUUCUGGAACAAGUCUUCGGUGAAUAUAACAAUACAAGUAACCUUGAACUUUUGACAAAUGACACCCUGGUCCAUUAUCUCUCACAUAAACAGAUUAUUCCCUGCACUUAAGAGUCCCCUGUGUGGUAUUGAGGGCUGCCUAACACUACAGGGUGAAAAGAAUUUGGGGCAAAAGCAUAAAGAGAGAUAUGUUUCUCCAUUUUUUUCAGUAGGAUCACAGACUUUAUAUCUUAACUGAUUCCUUGCAUUAUGCAUGACGUAAUAUUACUUACGGAAACAAAUGGAAAGAAAUUGUUAACCCUUCUCUGGACCCUUCACUCUUUUCUCUAUUUCCUUUCCCUGAUUUGUUGAUCACAUAAUCUGAUUGCUGUGUCAAAUUCAAAAUUUGCUAUUUCUCCCUUGUUCUGAAUAACCAAUUGACUGUGAGGACUUCAAGGAUUAUUGCAAGUGAUGGCUUUAUUAUUUGGGAGUAGCUUCUUAUUUCAUUUUCUUGUCAGAGCCAAAAUAGCCACUGGAUGUUUUUAUCAAGCAAUUUAUUUAGCAUAAGUAAAAUACGACAAACAUUAACAUAGCUAGCUGCGUUAUAGAUUUUAAUGGUUAACUAAAUGCCUUCCUAACCUGGUUCCUUGAACAACUUCUCUAGGUAUAUAAUAUUAUUUGAAAUUUAGCCGAAAUGCAUACUCUUAGUAUCUUAUACGUUAUCUAAUCACUAAUCCUGUGCUAUAAAAUACAGGACUGGGAUGGGCAAAACCCAACACAGAUCGUCACGGAGAUGUGUGGCUUUGUGACUAUUCUUUCUGGGACUUUUCUUCUUCACAAGACGAAGGAUAUGGUUGACGGUAUAUAUCAUUUCAUUUUUUGUAUUUAUUGUCAAACCACUCCUUUUUACCACUUGGUUUCCGUAAAGAACAUUAAAUAGCGUAAAUGCCUGUUUGCCCUAGUUUUUGGAGUAAGUUUUCUCCUGUGAUAAUUAGUAUUUAGGCAUUUGGCAGACAAAGCUUUCUACUGUGACAAUUAGUAUUUAGGCAUUUGGGCAGAAUGGGAGCUAACUGGAAGUAGGGGUGACUCAGUUUGGUUUGGUUCGGUGUUGAUUAUAUUUUUGUCAACCGACCAAAAUAUUUCAUUGAAAGAUUGAUAAAACCGACCUAAACCGUACUUCUUCUAUGUGAAAAUAUGAACCAAACCGAAUUUAGGUUUAACCAAUCAAUUUGCGCUUCUCCUUGUUGUAAGCUUUUUACAUUAGUUGUAAGAAUCCAUUCAUUUAAAAUGAAUGGAUAUGAUCUAUCAGUAUAUAAUUAGCUAUUCUAAAUGUACUUAUUACAUUAGAAUUUGGUCAUCACAUAAUGAUCCAUAAAAUAGGACUCAAUUUGUACUACUUGUAUAUGUAUAUGAUCAUUGGUCAAUUUUAAUUAGGUUCGGUUGAGAAAAUUUCUUUACCAAACAAAAACCAGAAACCUAAAUACAUGGAUAUUGAAAUAUGAAUGCAACCAAAAAUCAAAUAAAGCAAACCACAAUUGGGGUUAAGUUUCGGUUUGGUUUUUGGUUUGGAGUCACCCCUAUUGUUGAGGGCAUUAAUGGAACAGCUGUUAGUGUUUUUCGAGCAACUUUGCUAAACAUAUUAGAGUUUAUUUAUUUAAAGUGACUUAAAACUCCAUUUUUAGCCUUUGGACCUCUUGGGUGGCCAAAUAUCAAAUGGGUUUUACCUGGGAGCCUGUGCAUAUCUUGCUACAUGUGAAUUUAGUCGCACAUUGAAUACUCAAGACAUGUAGUAGUGCCUUUUAUACUCCAUCAUCUUCAAGCUAGUUGCUUGGGUGAUAAUAAGAGUGGUGCCAUCCACAAAUACACACACGAGCAUGAGCACGAAUACUCGGUUUGGUUCACCUACACUUGAACCUUACCUUUUAUUAUUAUUAUGUUUUUGGGUUGCUAGUACUUUUCAUUCAAAAAAAAGGGAUACAUUUUAAUUAAAAGAAUAGACAGAUUGUCUAACAAAACAGUACUUUUACGGAAGUUCUAGCAGAUCCAAACGAACUUCAAUUAGAGGAAUAGGACCAUUAUAUCGAAAAUUCCUGAUAGUUGACUCUGGAGUCUUUGUUGUUACGUACCGCCCCAUUUUAUGUUAACUCAAUUCACGAUUCCUUACUUUGCCCUAACAGGUCUUCCUCUCCCAGUUCGACUUGAAAAUCAUGCCGACGAGGAUGGAUUUCCUCCCGAGGGGAUUCCGCUUAGAAGUCACAAUUCAUCACACAUUCCAUGAGUUCUUGUGGUAGAAAAUUCCCUCCAAUGAAAUAGGAAAAACUGCUUUUGAGGCAAUCAGCUUGUUGACGAAGCUCUACGUAUUUAUCCUUUUCACAUCAAGUAAGGUUCAAAGGCUACUUUCGUCUCCAAUUUGAAGAAGCAGGCGCUUUUCCUUUUCCGAGACAUGACGAGUAUACAGCUUGAUCGUGCUACAUAAGCAGUUGCUGAAAUACUGUUUCCUACUAGCUUAGUCGAAAAGCUGCUUUUAGAGAAAGGCACAUAUCAAUCUAUUAUGCUGGUGGGGAUUUUGGUGGUGCAGUUGUAUAGUCCUUUUCCUUCUUCCCACACUUUUCCUGCUAGGUUAUUAUUGUAGUUAUGCCAUGUAUUUACAUCAAUUCUUUUUCAUGUACGUAUCACAUAGAACAGAAAUUUGCAUUGUUUUUGAGAAACUUGUAUACAUUUCUUAUCUAGCAGAACGAAGAUCGAUCAAAUUCACAAUUUUGCUCUAUCUUUUGCUCCAUUGAAAAAUUGUCGAGAAUCUGAAAGGUGAUCAUACAAGGUGUAUCAAUUCUCCUCUAGUUUUUACUGCUUUUUUAAUCCAUUGGUCACAGAACACAGAACGUAUGACGAAAUUCUCCGUAAAUUAUGUAUUUGUACCCAUUUAUGUAUCUUUGUAUGUGUAAUAUCUGUAUCCAAAUUUGAAUCUGUCUCUGACUAGUUGAAUAAUAUCGCAUUCAUUUUCAUCCCUAGAUUGGAACCUGAAAAGCCAAACCAACCUGUUUAAUUAGAAGUAAGUAUAAAAAAAGAUAAAAUUAUUAAAAAAAUACUUGUUUUCUGAUAUUUUCAAGUUUUAUUUCAAUCACUUCAGCAUGUGUGCAGCUUAUCGACAUUUCAACUUUUCUAAAACAAAGUUAAUUAAAAAAAAAUCUCACAAGGAGAGAGAAAAAUAAAAAAUAGGAAUUAAGGAGAUUAAGACAUAUCGAAAGUGCGAAAAGACCCAAAAAUUCAGAGUCAAUUUCUCACUACAAGUCAUAGGUCACCAAGAGAAACAAGAGAAUUUUCUUGCACAAUUCUCAUGAGCAUUGCUAUGGGCACCCCAAAGUGUCCCUCUUAGAGUCCCCAAUUUAUAUAUCAAGUUGUGAAAUAACUAAUUAGUCUAAAUGUGAGAAAACAGUAUAAUUUUUUAAGAUCAAUACUUUUGGAUAGGCCCAAAAUAAGCACUUUAAACAGUCUCCCUUUUUUAAGGCUUGAGAUUUCAAAAAAAAAAUAGAGAAUUAAACUCAAAGGUAGUCGAACUCUAAAUCUUCUACUCUGAUAUCAUGUGAAAUCAAUUAAUUACUCUCGAAACUUAAAUUGACAGAGAAUGGUGUCUCUAAUAUCGACAUUCAACACGGAUGUCUACAUAAGUUUAAUCUUUAUUAUCUAUGACAAUUAGUGUACCUUAGAAAGGUACACGACUUAAUUUUCAUAUUUUCAUCUCUCAAAGACUAAUAGUCCACACUGUAUUAGGUCGGUCAACUUGGCCAACACAGACUUUGAAACUCCUCUUGCCUAGGGCUGGCAAACGAGCGAGCCGGCUCGCGUUCGACUCGUGUUCGGCUAAGCUUGCUCGGCUCAUUAUGAGUUCGAGCCGAACUUUACUUAAAGCUCGGAAAAUAAAACAAGUUCGAGCCGAGUAAAUUAAAGCUCAGCUCGAACUCGCUCGACUUAUAGCNUAGAGCAUGAUAGUGUAGUGACUUAUAGCGGUUGAGUUAUUUCCUGCAUUUUUCCUACUAUCCUGGCUCCCUUCUGUAGACUUAGUGGGUGGAUCGAUGUUGUUUUGGGCGGCACCCACUGAGGACUACUUGUUUUUACAGUAGUUCUCACGCCCAGAUGUUACCCCUGUUUUGCAGAGCCACAGGUUUCGGGUACUGCGCCUUUCGCGGAUCAGGAUCGAGGCAAGGGCGUCGCGAGUUAGAGCCCUACCCGCUGAGCAGAGCUAGAGGCACCCUACUACAGGUAGUUGUUUUACUUCGAGCUUAUGUACAUAGUACUUAACUCGCCAGUGCGAGUGAUGCUGUAUUUUGGAUUCUGAACUAUGUAUAUGAAGCUCAGUUUGUUUAGUUUUUGUUUACUCGAGCAGCUCUAUACUACUGUUUGUAGUAUUGUUUGAUUUACAGGUACUGAUGUCGCUUCGUAUAUAAAAAAAAUUUCUUUGUAUAUGACGGAUUUGUCGGCGUGCCCGGGGAACGAGACAUCCGGGGCGUGACACCUUAGAAAGGUACACAAGUUAAUUUCCAUAGUUCCUACUCUCAAAGACUAAUAAUCCACACUGUAUUAGGUCGGUCAACUUGGUCAACACAGACUACGAAACUCCUCUUGUCUAUAACAAGUCUUUGCUUCUCUCACUCUCUCUAACCCAUUUCAAUUUAUUUUUAUUUUUAUAAAAAGAGAGAGAGGGAGAGAGGUUAUGAAAAUAUAGAUAGGAACUAAGAAGAAGAAAAGGUGGAUACUCCAUAAAAGAUAUAAUAGAAGGAAUGGAGAGGUAUGCACAUCUCUUUAUCUCCUUCUCCUUGCCGUUCUCCUUCUUAAAUUACUCCUUGUUUGUUGAUAAGUCUAUGGCCUCACCGUUCCAACUCAACCAUGACCAACUAAACAUCAUGGUAAAUCUCUCCAAGAGCCUCUCUCCUUAUUCUAUGAGUGAGUGGAACACCACUGACCCAAAUCCUUGCCUUUGGGAGAGGGUCACUUGCUCCGCCGGCCCCUCGACCGUCAUGACCCGCCUCUCCCUCUCCUAUCUCGGUCUCUCCACUGGCGCUAAUGUUAGUGACUUCAUUAGCAUUCUUUGUCGCCUCGACACCUUACAGUACCUCGACUUCUCGCUAAACUACAGAACCACAAUUCCUUAUUCGUUUUUCUCCAAUUGCACCGGCCUCUCCAGGUUGAAGUCCCUUAAUCUCAGCUACAAUGAUUUGGGUGGCCCGGUUCGUAAUUUCUCGAGCUUUGCCAGUUUGGAGACUCUGGGCUUGUCCUAUAACUCCUUACAAGGAACUGUUGCAACCCAGUUGAGUUCCUUAUCCAAAUUGAAAAGCUUGAAUCUUGGCUCUAAUUUAUUGAUGGGNGCCUAGAUUUAGGCUCGAAAUUAAUUUCAAGCCGAAUUUGAGCUGAAAUAAGCUCGCUCGAGCUCGGCUCGUUUCCACCCCUACUCUUGCCUAUAACAAGUCUUUUCUUCUCUUACUCUCCCUAGCCCAUUUCAAUUUAUACCUCCUCCAGAUUUUUAUUUUUAUUUUUAUUUUUAUAAAGAGAGAGAGAGAGAGAGAGAGAGAAAGAGGUUAUAGAAAUAUACAUAGGAACUAAGAAGAAGAAAAGGUGGAUACUCCAUGAAAGAUAUAAUAGAAGGAAUGGAGAGGUAUGCACAUCUCUUUGUCUCCUUCUCCUUGCUGUUCUCCUUCUUAAAUUACUCCUUGUUUGUUGAUAAGUCUAUGGCCUCACCGUUCCAACUCAACCAUGACCAACUAAACAUCAUGGUAAAUCUCUCCAAGAGCCUCUCUCCUUAUUCUAUGAGUGAGUGGAACACCAGUGACCCAAAUCCUUGCCUUUGGGAGAGGGUCACUUGCUCCGCCGGCACCUCGACCGUCGUGACCGGCCUCUCCCUCUCCAAUCUCGGAAUCUACACUGCCGCUAAUGUCAGCGACUUCUUUAGCAUUCUUUGUCGCCUCGACACCUUACAAAACCUCGACUUCUCGCAAAACUACAUAGCUACGAUACCUGAUUCGUUUUUCUCCAAUUGCACCGGCCUCUCCGGGUUGAAGUCCCUCGAUCUCAGCUACAAUGAUUUGGUUGGCCCGGUUCGUAAUUUCUCGAGCUUUGUGAAUUUGGAGACUCUGGACUUGUCCCACAACUUACUAGAAGGAACUGUGGGAACCCAGUUGAGUUCCUUAUCCAAAUUGAAAAGCUUGAAUCUUGGCUCUAAUUUAUUGAUGGGAACCAUCCCCACUUUCGUCAUCGACGGUAGAAGAGUUGCGGUCUUUGAAGAGCUUGUGCUUUCGCAUAAUCACUUCACUGGCACGAUACCCAGUGAGAUUUUUGAGUAUGAGAAUCUUACUAUGUUGGAUCUUAGUACAAAUAGCCUAUCUGGGACCAUACCAGAAAAGAUUGGAAUGCUCUCCAAUUUGAAAACUCUCGACCUUUCUUCCAAUCAACUAACCGGAAGACUUCCGGCUACUUUAUCCAACAUCUCAGCCCUCUGUCGAUUCGCAGCUAAAAGAAACAACUUAACUGGAAAUAUUCCAAGUAUUUCCAAAUUUUUGUGUGUUUUGGAUCUCAGCUACAACAACCUUGGUGGGGAGAUCCCAUCUGAUCUCCUCGCAUCUCCUAAUUUGGAGUAUGUUUAUCUCUUUGGUAAUCGUCUCAGAGGGGCUAUUCCCACAAAUCUAUCUAUAGGGCUUUUCAUUCUGCAACUCAGUGGAAACCUUCUAUCUGGAAUAAUCCCGACAUCAAUAGGAAAGCUCUCGAAAUUGGAUUACUUGGAUCUCUCUUCGAAUGCGCUGUACGGCGAGCUACCAAAGGAGAUUGGUAAUCUUCAUGAAUUGGUCUCCUUGGAGCUUCAAAUGAAUAAUCUUAGCGGGGAGAUCCCAUUUGAUUUUCUUGCAUCUCCUAAUUUGGAGUAUGUUGAUCUCUCUAGUAAUCGGCNAAGUCCCUUAAUCUCAGCUACAAUGAUUUGGGUGGCCCGGUUCGUAAUUUCUCGAGCUUUGCCAGUUUGGAGACUCUGGGCUUGUCCUAUAACUCCUUACAAGGAACUGUUGCAACCCAGUUGAGUUCCUUAUCCAAAUUGAAAAGCUUGAAUCUUGGCUCUAAUUUAUUGAUGGGAACCAUCCCCACUUUCGUCACCGACGGUAGAAGAGUUGCGGCCUUUGAAGAGCUUGUGCUUUCAAAUAAUCAAUUCACUGGCAUGAUACCCAGUGAGAUUUUCGAGUAUGAGAAUCUUACUAUGCUGGAUCUCAGUACAAAUAGCCUAUCUGGGACCAUACCAGAAAAGAUUGGAAUGCUCUCCAAUUUGAAUGCUCUCGACCUUUCUUCGAAUCAACUAACCGGAAGACUUCCGGCUACUUUAUCCAACAUCUCAACGCUCUUUCGAUUCGCAGCUAAAAGCAACAACUUAACUGGAAAUAUUCCAAGUAUUUCCAAAUUUGUCAGUUUUUUGGAUCUCAGCUACAACAACCUUAGUGGGGAGAUCCCAUCUGAUCUUCUCGCAUCUCCUAAUUUGGAGUAUGUUGAUCUCUCUGCUAAUCAGCUCGGAGGGGCUAUUCCCACAAAUUUAUCUAUAGGGCUUCAAUUUCUGCAACUCAGUGGAAACCUUCUAUCUGGGAUAAUCCCGGCAUCAAUCGGAAUGCUCUGGCAGCUGGCAUAUCUAGAAUUGGAUAAUAACAAUUUGUAUUCUGAGAUACCAUCGCAACUGGGGAACUGCCGCAAUUUGGCAUACUUGGAUCUCUCUUCGAAUGCGCUGCACGGCGAGCUACCAAAGGAGAUUGGUAAUCUUCAAAAUUAUUUAGAGGUGCUGGCGCUUCAAAUGAACAAUCUUAGCGGGCAGAUACCUAUUGAAAUGCUUGAGCUACAGAGCUUGCAAGUAUUGAAUCUCGGCGGUAAUUCAUUCACGGGUGAGAUAUUACCAAUAAUUUCUAACUUCCAUCAGCUUUCAAACCUAGGCCUUCAGCGCAAUAAGUUCAUCGGGACGAUUCCCAAUUCAAUCAAUGGUUUGCAAAAUCUGAUAGAACUCAACCUGGGUAGCAACCUUUUUGACGGGCCGAUAUCUCCAAACAUUGGAGAUUUACACUUUCUAGAAAUUCUCGAUCUCUCGUAUAAUCAUUUCUCAGGUCAAGUGCCUGAUUCUCUUUCCACCAUUCCAAAUUUGACGAAGCUGGCACUUUCUUACAAUAAUCUCUCAGGGGAUCUUGAUCUCUCAAGAUUUUUGCCAUCAGUGAAUGUCGUAACCAUUGGAAAUAAGAAUCUUAUAAUUUUGAACGGAAGUGCUGAAUCCAAUUCGCCCGGAAAUGACGUUUUUGUUACUACCGAUUCGUCGAAAAGAAAGAUCAAGUUUGCCUUAGUCGUGGUUUCUUCUUUUGUGGCCGGUUUUUCGGUUUCAUUCCUCAUGUCUUCACUGACUUGGAAAUUCUUGAUUCGUAAAAAAGCAGCCGACGCACAAGAAGAAGACCGCCUUUCUGAUUUGAACAACAGGAAGAGGCUGCAGAUGGUACAGAGGCUGAGGAUGUUUCACGAACGGUACUACUUGGGACAGCUCACCACUGCAUUAGAAGCUCUUUAAUUAGGGAGUUUUUUUAAAUUUUGAAGCCCAAAAACUCUUUCUAGCUUAUCGCCGCAGUAGGACGUCUAGAUAUCUCUGUUUGCUAAAUGUGUCAAUACUGCUUCUUAGAAUAGAGAAGCAGUUCAAGGCCCAAGAGCCUCUUAAUAAUGUAUGCUAUCAUGGGACAAGCAAGGUUGAAAUUCAGAGACAGAAAACCUCUUGAUUUUUUAUGCGUGAUAAAUACAAGAAAAAAUUGAUAUGUCAUCGCAGAAUAAAAUCCAACUGAAAGUAAAAAAGAAAAAAAAAAAAAAAGGGGGAAAAACCAAAUAAUUAAUAACAUGUCUUUUCAAGAAAGAGGAAUGUGUGGCGGCUUCUUUAUAAACAUAUUUAUUAGACUAGACUAAGCAUAAAAAAAAAUUUCAACUCAGCUCAUAACAAGAUGUCGAAAACCCUGACAGUAAAGAUUGUAUAGAUAAUAUAUGUUUACUGUACCAAAACAGGUAGGUACUGCAUAUUAAUUCAUAACCAUAACCUUAAUAACUCAACAUCUCUCAGCACUUCGUAUGUAGAGAUUGCCUCAUAAACUCGCCUCCAUUUUCGCGAAAGCUGUUCAAGAACAUUAUAACUACGAAUAACAUUGUGAUGUGGAAAAUCCAACUGUAUCCAUAUCAAAAUCUUUGUUAGUUAAUUCGCGAAUUAUUCGCGAAUUUUUGAAGAAACGAAUUUAUCGGCCGUAUUCGUAUUUUUUUGAAAAAUUCAGAAAAAAAUACGUUUUUUUGGUCGAAAAUACUUAUUUGUGAAUAAUUCACGCGCCGAAUUAUUCGCCAAAAAUACGGUUCGCGCUCGCGCCUGCGCCCGCGCCCGUGCUCGAGGGUCGCGGGUCGCUGGUCUCGCGGCUCGCCCUAUAACACCCUGUACUUUUAAACUUCUUUAUUUGACUCCUAUUCUUAUUAAGUUUGGACCUUUUCGUAAAUUCCUAUCUUCGAGGGAUUCGGCGGCAUUUUGUUACUUAAUUAGUAUCUAACUUAAUUAAUUUUCUCCCUAACCCUCACCCGAUCAAUCCCUCUUUUUCCCCUCCCCUACGACUCGCUCUCUCUCUUCCUUACCGCAUCCGUACGACCUCUGUCGUUCCGCAAGUGCGCACGCGACACCAUCUGAUCGUCGCCAUCAUCCGUAGCCGCCUCCGCCGCAAUCCUCUUUGGCCGUUAUUUUUGGUUCACUAUCGAUGGCAUCCUGCCGUCAUUUUCACCAUUUUCGAGAAGGUUUUUCUUUUUCCCUUAUUUUAUCUCUAUAUCGAACCUUGUGAUCAUCCAACCUUCUUGUUUAUCGUUAUAUUAUUAUUUUGAAUACUCGCCUAAUGAUGAUCGAAAUUUAAAACUACCAAAAUCUGAUUUGCUUUGAUCUAAAUAUGUGUUAUUCGAUCUAUCAUUUUAUCUUGUAUUUCUAUCUGAUUUAGUUAUAUAAACCCUCCAUAUUCUGCAUGCUUCUUGUAACGCUCCUUACAUGUUCGAUAAAAUGCCUAAGAGAGGGCGAACUUUGUUUUUGUUUCUAAUUCCGAUCCUAUCUGAUUGUAAAUUGCCUAUUGAUAUUUCAACAUCUGAAAACCCUCUUUUCGAGCAUUAGAUCUUUCGUUUAUUAUUUAAAACUUCAUUCAUGUUAUCUUGUUUUUUGAAUAUUUUAAUCUUUGAAACUCAUCAUCCUCUUUGAUUGUUAAUUGAGUUUCGUCGAAUUUAAUAUUCUAAAUCCCUUUGUGCUCCAUCCCGACCUAUUUGCAUACCUUUAUAUCCCCUUUGCAUGUUCAUUUUGGUUAGCUUAUAGAGAAUCACGUAUCUCUAUUUUGGAUUCCGACGAUUGAAUUUUCGGCGCAUUCUCAACUGGAUAAUUUUUCUAUCUUUGAGGUAUUCGUUAAAGUAAGCGACCGAACACCCGUUAGUUUUUGUAAGAUAAUAUAGAAAAAUAUUUUGAUUAUAUGAAAAUCUUAUUUUGUAGAAUUUAAAAUUAAGGGUUAAGCAUAUUAUUAAAUAUUUCUGUAAAUUAAGUUUCAACCGUGAUUGACAAGUCCUUUUAGCAAAAUAAACUUUUGAAAUUUGAUAAUCUGCUCUGUAAAUUAAUGACUGGAUACACUUUGAAUUAUGAUGUCUCUUGGUAUUCUGCUAUGCUUAUGUUGGCCAUGUCGACAUGUACUUUGUUAUAGAAGCAAGCUUCGUCUUUGUAUUGCGCCUUCGGGUGCCUGCGCCUAUCCGCGCNUAGGGAUAAUAUUAUUAUUUUUUAUUUAUAACUAACAACUAUUCCUCUUAUUUUCAAUAACCAUCCAAACGCAAUUUUUUCUAGUUCCAACUUAUACUCAUAUUUUCAUCCAAAUAAAAAAAAAUAUCUUUAUCCUUACAAAAAUUCAUAUUUGUACACAUCCCCAGUAUAACUAGUUCCUACUAAUUCCCGAACCAAACAGUUUAGUGUUUGAGUAUAAGAAGGAGAAUAAGAGUUUAUUCCCCUCUUUAUAUCCCAUCCAAAUACCACCUAACAGAUCUUCCACUCCCAAUUUGACUCGAAAAUCAUGCCGACGAGGAUGUGUUUCCUCUCGAGGGCAUUCCACUUAGAAGUCACGAUUCGUCGCACAUUCCAUAAGCUCUUGUAUGGUAGAAAAUUCCCUCCGGCGAAAAGGGAAAGUGCUUCUGAGGCAAUCAGCUUGUCGAAGAAGCUCUACAUAUCCUUUUCACAUCAAGCAAGGCUCGAUGGUUACUUUUGCCUCCUAUUUGAAGCAGUAGACUCUUUCCCCUUUCCCAGGCAUGACAUUAGAGCUCCGUUGUACUACAUAAGCAGUUGCUGAAAUAUCAUUUCCUACCAGCUUAGUCAAAAAGCUGCUUCUAGAGGAAGCUGCAUAUCAGUCUAUUAGUGUAAUGACCUGCGCUUCGUGGCGGGAGGUCGUAAAGUUGAGAGCUAAUAAUAUGACUUUUAUUAUAUUUAUUUAUUACGAAACAUACAUAUAUAUAUAUAACAUUUACAUUAUGUAAGAUAACUAAAUAUAUAAUAUAGAUUAUCUAAUACGAUGUGAUGUCUUUAAUAAUACAAAUAUAAUUGAUAAAACAGUUCUUAGAUCAUUAUGGCCUAUCGGUUCCAUUUAAUUUCUUGCAGGUGUUAACUUUGCUUGGUCCUUUUCCAGUCUUCGAACUGCAUACGUAUGAACAAUAUCUCNUUGGAAAUAAGAAUCUUAUAAUUUUGAACGGAAGUGCUGAAUCCAAUUCGCCCGGAAAUGACGUUUUUGUUACUACCGAUUCGUCGAAAAGAAAGAUCCAGGUUGCCUUAGUCAUGGUUUCUUCUUUUGUGGCCGGUUUUUCGGUUUCGUUCCUCAUGUCUUCACUGACUUGGAAAUUCUUGAUUCGUAAAAAAGCAACCGAUGUGCAAGAUGAAGACAACCUUUCUGAUUUGAACAACAGGAAUAGGCUGCAGAUGGUACAGAGGCUGAGGAUGUUUCACGAACGGUAUUACUUGGGACAGCUCACCACUGCAUUAGAAGCUCUUUAAUUAGGGAGUUUUUUUAAAUUUUGGAGCCCAAAAACUCAUUUGAGCUUAUUGCCACAGUAGGACCUCUAAAUAUCUCUGUUUGCUAAAUGUAUAAAUGCUGCUUCUUAGAGUAGAGAAGCAGUUCAAGGCCCAAGAGCCUCUUAAUAAUGUUUGCUAUCAUGGGACAAGCAAGGUUGAAAUUCAGAGACAGAAAACCUCUUGAUUUUUUAUGCGUGAUAAAUACAAAAAAAAAUUGAUAUGUCAUCGCAGAAUAAAAUCCAACUGAAAGUAAAAAAAAAAAAAAAAAAAAAANAAUUAAUUUGUGUAUCCAUUUAUUGUAUGCUUAAUCCGACUAAUGUGGUGUAUGGUUGCUUACCCAGGUACCGAGACCGAUUUGCCGGGCGGGGCUGAGACUGAGUGAACGUUAGACGUAGCAAGUUUUGAUUUUAGUCUCUUUUGUUUUUACAUCUAGUAUUUUUGAAUUAUCUAUGAUCGUUUGUUAUCUAUUUUGUUUCGUUAUAUCUUCAUACCCACUUUUGUCACUUAUGGUAUUUUCGAACCUCUCUUGUGAUUCGUAGUAAGCUUUAGUUCUAUAGAAGUUAGAAUUUCAUUUGAUUUUAGUUAAAAUUUAAUUUCUUAGUCUCAUCCUAUGAUUCUUUGGAUUUAGUGGAAAAUUUGGUAAUCAUCUUUUGCUAGCUUUUGUCUGAUUCUAUAGCCUUGCAUAUUUGCUAGUUUAGUAGGUAUGCGGCGUCUGUUAAGCCUCGGGUUUGGGGCGUGACACGCCCAAAUCAGGAAAAAUUUAAAAAAACCCCUUUCCAAACAAAAAAAAAAACCGUUCAAAAAAAANAAUAACAUGUCUUUUCAAGAAAGAGGAAUGCGUGGCGGCUUCUUUAUAAACAUAUUUAUUAAACUAGACUAAGCAUAAAAAAAAUUUCAACUCAGCUCAUAACAAGAUGUCGAAAACCCUGACAGUAAAGAUUGUAUAGAUAAUCUAUGUCUACCGUACCAAAACAAGUAGGUACUGCAUAUUAAUUCAUAACCAUAACCUUAAUAACUCAACAUCUCUCAGCACUUCAUAUAUAGAGAUUGCCAAAAUACAUACUACCAUCCUAAUAGGCAGCAAGACUGUCAUCCAAUGCGAGAAUGCAAUAGUAGGAAGCUUCUGUAUGACUCGUUUACCUCAUAAACUGGCCUCCAUUUUCUCAAAAGCUGCUCAAGAACAUUAUAACUACGAAUAAAGUUGUGAUGUGGAAUUUGGGAGGAUAGCUGUAACAAAAAAGGAGUUCAGAGGAGAAAAGAGCUAACGACUAUUGCUGCCAUGUGGUGGGGAGUUCUUUGGCUUGAGCGGAACAGUAGAGUCUUUGAGAAUAAAAAAAGCCCGCCUAGUCUUCUAUUAGUCAAGAUCCGUUCGCUUAGAGACCUUUGGUUACGGUUUUGUCUUCUAAAUAGAGCCUGAUCUUCACCUUCUUUUUUUUUGUUUGUUUCGCCACCAGGCCCGGCUGCCUCAUACUGAGCCAAGUUCAUUUUCUUAAUGAAUAAAGCAGUGGCAUGCUACCUUCUCUCUCUCAAAAAAAAAAAAAAAAAAAACAACAUUGUGAUGUGAAAAAUCCAGCUGUAUCCAUAUCAAAAUAUGUCGAACAAAAGGAAAAGGAGAAAAUGAGCAACAAGAAGGAACUUACUGCUGUAGUUGAAUAGCUAGCUUCUCGAUUCGGUCAAACAUGUGUCAUGAGCAUUUGCCAGCAACAAGCAUCUAAGCUCAUCCCUUAAACACGGGAAAAAAAGAGACAAAUCAUGGGUGUAGAUAAGAAGAUCUUACCCAAACUAGAUAGCAUUUUGAAAUUUGUAUCUAAACUUCAAAAAUUCUGAUUUUACUGCCUAACCUUACUUUUCUUUUCAGUGUGUUUGGCACCAAAUCUAAAUGUGAUUCAGUAGAUUUCAAAAGACAAGAAUUCAGUUGAAUUCAUUUAGAAAUGAAAUCUUUUGCUUGCAAUAAAUUAUAACUCAAUUUGAAUUUCAUUCCGUAUUGUCGUGUACUUGUUAUAACCCUGCUCUCCCCGUCUUCGAUUUUCAUGUUGCAGCCCAAAUUAGCGGAUAAAAAUUUGGUGGACAUAGUUUCCAAAAAUAAUAGUUUGGGGAUCAUCUGGAUCGACGCCAUGUGACUAGCUGUACUCAUCUCAACUGUUCAAAAAAAAUAUUAUUUUUACUGGAUUAAAAUAUUUAAAAAUUUUAUUUUUAUUUGGCGAUUGAGAUGGGCUCUGCUUGCCACAUGGCGCCAAUCUGAACAAUCUCCAAAAUAUUUUUUUAAGAAUAAGAUAGCGUGCUACCCGCUUUAUUUAUUGAACUGAUGAAUUAGGCUACACGAGUGUCACAGCUGAGCCUCGAACCGGAUGGAAAAAUAAUAAUAAUAAUAAUAAUGUUUGGGGACGGACACUAGCGUGCGAUUGUGUGGGCCCCAAUGAUGGGCGUACGGAGACGACGGGGCGCAGGGGCACCGUUGAUUUCUACGUCUCGAUCGCAUGGAGCGGAGGAUGCGCGCAAGAGCCGAGUUCCGUUAUCCGAUCCUGACCGUCCGAUUAGCAGAUCGAACCUCACGGGGUUGGAAACCGAUCGCGAGGUAUCCUGCGAAAUUGGACGGGGUUGGAACCUUCUCUCUGGGGUAAUCCCGACAUCAAUCGGAAAGCUCUCGCAGUUGGCACAUCUAGAAUUGGAUCAUAACAACUUGUGUUCCGAGAUACCGCCACAGCUAGGGAACUGCAAAAUGAAAAUAGGGUUAUGAAAAAUGAAUUUGAUUAUGAAAAUUUGUAAGAUCCAUCCAUAUUGAUUUGAUGAGGGAUCUUAUGAUGACUAGACUAAUUAGAAUAGGACCACAUUGCAUUUUCAAAAUUAAAUUUUUAUAAAUAGUUAUGAAAAAAUUUAUAAGAAAAUUAUUUAUUCUAAUUUUUUUAAAAAAUUUUUGUAAGAUCUAUCCAUAAAAAUUUAAUAUUUAAUAAUAAACAAUAUGUGACGCCCCGACUUCCCAGAGGGUCACCCAUCCUAGGACUACUCCCGUCCUAGCACGCUUAACUCUCUUAAGCUCUUGGGCCUUGCCACCACCCAAAAUGCUUAAGCCGGGUUAAGAGUUUAGCCUAUUAUAUCUUAUAUAUAGGACUAUCUGGGGUCUCACAAUCUCCCCUCCUUUAAGUCCUGACGUCCUCGUCAGGCUUAGACUCACAAGUACCAGACGAUGUGAGACUCGUCCGUCAUCCAGGACACUGACUCAGCCGAGACUAUCUAACACUUCCGGCGGUAAUUGGCUCUGAUACCCGACUUCCCAGGGGGUCACCCAUCCUAGGACUACUCCCGUCCUAGCACGCUUAACUCUCUUAACCUCUUAGGUCUUGCCACCACCCAAAAUGCUUAAGCCGGGUUAAGAGUUUAGCCUAUUAUAUCUUAUAUAUAGGACUAUCUGGGAUUUCACACAAUAUGAUGAAUAAUUAAAGCAAGUUUAUGUUAAAAAUUGAUUAACUUUUAAAUUUUUUUAUUUAUCUUUACUUUUUUGGACUUUAAAAAAUUGUAAAAUACAAAUUAGGGAAUAUUACUUGUUUCCUUAAAAUUCUUAUGCAAAUUUGCAAAACUCUUCUAAGAAAAUUAUUUUUUCUUAAAAUCUUUUAGAAAAAUUGUGAGAUCUAACUAUGAAAAUUUAACAAAAAAUCAUAUGACAAAUACAUAAAAAAAUUUAAAUAUCAAUAAUGUCAAUUUAGUUUUUUGACUUUAUUAGAAUUUUUAUGUUUCUAAAUUCAAUAAUAGAAUUUUCAAAGUUAAAAAUGUCUAAAUCUCAUAUAAAAUGCUAAAUCCAUCCAAGAAAAUUAAAAAUUGGACCAUAUAAUGACUAAACAAAGUGGAUUUAUUUUCGGAUUUUUGUGAAUUGUAAAUAAAACUUUGUAAUUUUCUAUGUAUCACUGACAUUUCUAUAAGCCUCGCAUGUUCGUGUCGUACACGCGCGUCCGUGUCAUACACGUGUCUGAUGUGGACACUUUUUGAACGCACGUUUAAUGUUGAUUCAUAGCGCAUACAACUAAAAUAAAUAUAUACAUAUUUUUUUUUUACUUUUUCUAUGCAUAUAUAAUGUAAGAUGAUAAAUAUUUUAGCUUUUUGAUCAAUACAUAUAAUUUUUUUUGACAAUACAAAUAAAUUAUCUAUGGUGGAGAAUUUUUUUCUUAAAAUAUAUGAAUUAUCAAUAAAAAUUUUACUCACUUUUAUUCGUAUGAAAAAUAUAGCAAUAUUUUACUAAAAUCAAUAUUUUAUAUAUAAUAAAAAUAUAUUAUUAUAUUGAUAAUAUUAUAUUUUAUUAGUGGUGAUCAUGUCGUGUCCGUAUUCUAAUUAAUAUUUUUAAAAGCUAUCGAGUCGCGGAGUCCGAGUCAUGUCGUGUUCCGUAUUUUGUGUCAGUGCACUUUUCCUUUUCCGAGGCACGACGUUAACUCGAGUACACAGCUUGAUCGUGCUACAUAACCGGUUGCUGAAGUACCAUUUCCUACUAGCUUAGUCGAAAGCUGCUUUUAGAGAAAACCACAUAUCAAUCUAUUAUGCUGAUGGGGCUUUUGGCGGUGCAGUUGUAUAGUCCUUUUCCUUCUUCCCACACUUUUCCUGCUAGGUUAUUAUUGUAGUCACACCAUGUAUUUACAUCAAUUCUUUUUAAUUUAUGUAUCAUAUAGAACGGGAAUUUGCAUUGUUUUUGAGAAACUUGUAUACAUUUCUUAUCUAGCGGAACGAAGAUCGAUCAAAUUCACAAUUUCGCUCUAUCUUUUGCUCCAUUGAAAAAUUGUCGAGAAUCUGAAUGGUGAUCAUGCAAGGUAUCAAUUCUCUUCUAGUUUUUACUGCUUUUUUAAUUCAUUGGUCACAGAACAUAUGGCGAAAUUCUCUAUAAAUUAUUGAAUUUUAAAUUUUUAAAAUUUAACAUGGUAAAGUUUCAGUAAACACUGUAACUUCUAUUUAAUAAAAGAAAGAUGUGGUUGUUAAUUCAGCUGACGCGUCGUCUCUUACAGAUAAUAAGAUUGUUGCAAAAUUGAUGUAACAAUUAAAUUAACUCACAUGUUAUCGACACAGGUACAAAUAUGUGUACUUUUUAAUUAUGUAUUUGUACCCGUUUGGGUAUCUUUGUAUGCAUAAUAUCUGUAUCCAAAUCUAAAUCCAUCUCCAACUAGUUGAAUAAUAUCCCAUUCAUUUUCACCCCUAGAUUGGAACCCGAAAAUCCAAACCAACCUGUUUAAUCGGAAGUAUAAAAAAAGAUAAAAUUAUAAAAAAAAAAAAUACUUCUUUUCUGGUAUUUUGAAGUUUUAUUUCAAUCACUUCAGCAUGUAUGCAGCUUAUGGACAUUUCGACUUUUCUAAAACAAAGUUAAUUAAAAAAAAAUGUCACAAGGAGAGAGAAAAAUAUAAAAUAGGAAUCAAGGAGAUUAAGACAUACAGAAAGUGUGAAAAGAACCAAAAAUUCAGAGUCAAUUUCUGACCACAAGUCAUAAGUCACCAAAAGAAGGGCUUUUUUUGCAUUUAGUCCCCUAGCAAAUUUUUAUUUUAAAAUUAGCCCGGUCAAAAUUUAAUUUGCAAAAAUGAUCCUGGACCUGCUAUGCAAGCGCCACGUCAGCGCCACGCGGGCAGGACCGGGGCGCGUGUGUUAAGUUGAACACGGUGAACCAUUCACUGUGUUCAAACACGGUGAAUGGUUCGCCGUGUUGAGUACGCAUUGUUAUUGAAAAGAGAAAUAGGGAGUAGGGAUGUCAAUAGGUAUGGAUAUACGAAAUAUUAUCCGAAUCCAAACCCGAAUAAAUUAUGUAUAUAUACAUAAUUUAUUUUUAUUUAUUUAUACAAUAUAUAAAAUAUUUAAUAAUUUUUAUUUCUUAGAUUUUCAUCUAACGGUAUAGAUUUUUAAAACCCGCUGGGUUCAGAUUCGGAUUUCGAGUUUUUGGUCGGAUAUGGAUAUGGGUAUGAAUUUUUAAAAUCCGUCGGGUUCGGAUCCGGGUUUGGAUUUUAAUUUGAUUUUCGGGUUCGAGUUCGGAUUUUUGAAAAAGAGAAGAAAAGGAAUACAAAUUUUCUAUUCCUCUUUUCAAUAUACAAAAAAUACAUACCAAACACAGUGAACCAUUCACCGUGUUUAGACACGGUGAAUGGUUCACCGUAUUUAACUUAACUACCGCUCCCAGUCCCGCCCGCGUGGCGCUGACGUGGCACCUGCGCGAUAGGUUUAGGGUCAUUUUUGCAAAUUAAAUUUUGACAGGACUAUUUUAAAAAAAAAAAUUUGUCAGGGGGCUAAAUGCAAAAAUAGCGCCCAAAAAAAAAGAAAAUUUCUUGCACAUUUCUCAUGAGUGCCCCUAAAUGUCCCUCUUAGAGUCCCCAAUUUAUAUUUCAUGUUGUGAAAUAACUAAUUAGUCUAAAAGCAUAAACUGCUAGAAAACAAUAUCAUUUUUUUAAGACCAAUACUUUUUGAUAGGCACUUUACACAGUAUUCCUUUUUUAAGACUCGAGAUUUCAAGAGAAAAUAUAAAGAGACUCAAAAAGUAUUCAAACUCUGAAUUUUCUAUUCUAAUAGUAUGUGAAACAAUCAAUUACUCUCAAAGCUUAAAUUGACAGAAAAUGGCAUCCCUAAUAUCUACAUUCAUCGUGGAUGUCUACACAAGUUUAGUCUUUAUUAUCUAUGACAACUGGGGUACCUUAUGUAGUAUCAUUUUAUAUAUAUAUAUAUAUCUAUGACAACUGGGGUACCUUAUGUAGUGUCCUUAUAUAUAAUAAAUANUGAAUUUUAAAUUUUAAAUUUUAAAUUUAAUUUUAAAUUUAUGCUUUGAAUCUAAAAUAAAAAUAAAAAUUUGAAGUUUAAGUCCAAAACCAGUUUUGGAGAAGCAUCUUUUUUCUGCUUCUUAUUCUGGAGUGUUCGAAAUCAGUUUUCUAAUUCUGAAAAAUUAAAUUAAAUUUUUCAUAUGUCGUUCCCAAACAUUCUAUUGAACUCAAAAGUGAUUUUAGGCUAAGAAUCACUCCUUAGAAGCUAGGCUAAAUACCCCUUUUGGCUGUGCAGUUGUAUAGUCCUUUUCCUUCUUCCCACACUUUUCCCUUAUUGUAGUUACCCCAUGUAUUUGCAUCAAUUCUUUUUCAUGUACGUUUCACAUAGAACAGGAAUUUGCAUUGUAUUUGAAACUCGUAUACAUCUCUUAUUUAGCGGAACAAAGAUCGAAUAAAUUUAUAAUUUCGCUCUAUUUUUGGCUCCAUUGAAAAAUUGUCGAGGAUCUGAAAGGUGAUCAAUUCUCUUCUAGUAUUUACUACUUUUUAAUCCAUUGGUCACAGAACAUAUGGCGAAAUUCUCCGUAAAUUAUGUUUCUGUACCCAUUUACGUUUCUUUGUAUGUGUAAUAUCCGUAUCCAAAUCUGAAUCCGUCCCCGACUAGUUGAAUAAUAUCGCAUUCAUUUUCACCCCUAGAUUGGAACCUGAAAAGCCAAACCGACCUAUUUAAUUGGAAGUAAGUACAAAAGAAGAUAAAAUUAUAAAAAAAAUACCUGUUUUCUGAUAUUUUUAGGUUUUAUUUCAAUCACUUCUGCAUGUGUGCAACUUACCGACAUUUUGACUCUUCUAAAACAAAGUUAAUUAAAAAAAAUGUCACAAGCAGAGAGAAAAAUAAAAAAUAGGAAUUAAGGAGAUUAAGACAUAUAGAGAGUGCGAAAACAUCCAAAAAUUCAAAGUCAAUUUCAAGCUACAAGUCAUAGGUCACCAAGGGAAACAAGAGAAUUUUCUUGCACAAUUCUCGUGAGCAUUGCUAUGGACACCCCAAAGUGUCCCUCUUAGAGUCCCCAAUUUAUAUUUCAAGUUGUGAAAUAACUAAUUAGUCUAAAUGUGAGAAAACAAUAUCAUUUUUUAAGAUCAAUACUUUUCCAUAGGCCCAAGAUAAGCACUUUAAACGGUCUCCCUUUCUGAAGGCUUGAGAUUUCAAAAAAAAUAUAUUGAGAAUUAAACUCAAAGAUAUUCGAACUCUGAAUCUUCCACUCUAAUAUCAUGUGCAACAAUUAAUUACUCUCAAAGCUUAAAUUGACGGAAAAUGGUGUCUCUAAUAUCUACAUUCAACACGGAUGUCUACACAAGUUUAGUCUCAUAUACAUUUCUUAUUUAGCAGAACGAAGAUUGAUUAAAUUCACAAUUUUGCUCUAUCUUUUGCUCCAUUGAAAAAUUGUCGAGAAUCUAAAAGGUGAUCAUACAAGAUGUAUCAAUUCUCUUCUAGUUUUUACUGCUUUUUUAAUCCAUUGGUCACAUAACAUAUGGCGAAAUUCACCGUAAAUUAUUGAAUUUCAAAAUUUGAAAACUUGACAUGGUGAAGUUUGAUUUCCAUUCCAGUAAACAAUGUAACUUCUAUUUAAUAGAAAAAAGAUAUGGUUGUUAACUCAGCUGACGCGUCAUCUCUUACGGACAAUAUGGUUGUUGCUAAAUUGAUGUAACGAUUAAAUUAGCUCACAUGUUAUUGACACAGGAACAAAUGUGUGUACUUCUUAAUUAUGUAUUUGUACCCAUUUGUAUGCGUAACAUCUAUAUCCAAAUCUGAAUCCGUCCCCGACUAGUUGAAUAAUAUCGCAUUCAUUUUCGCCCCUAGAUUGGAGCCCGAAAAGUCAAACUAACCUAUUUAAUUGGAAGUAUAUCUAUACCUAUACCUAUACCUAUACAUUAUUUCUCAUGGAGUUUGCUACGUGGCAAUUCCUCCUUUACUUUCCUUCCUACUCCCUGAUGCUUCGUCUUCCCACCCUCAUCUCUACCCAAUUCUUCCUCUUCCCACCCACCUAUUUUCUAAUUAAUGUAUUCACAUGAUCCAUUUUCAUCUAAAUAAAUCGCUUCUAAAAAAAAGUAAAAUAAGAUCUUUUAUACUCCUUUUUAUCACAUUUUUUCUUUUUUCUUUUUUUUUUUUGCACAAGAAGGGUUCAUUUUUUGUAUUUUUCUUAAUCUUUUUUUCUAUUUUUUUAAAGUGUGUGGAGAUUGAAAUUAGGGUUCCAAGGAUCACGGCGAGGUGAAGUGCGAUGGAUUUAGAGUUGAUGAAAGGGAAGAAGCCGUGACUGUGGGGGAAUCCGUACGGCAUCGACGUGGCUGUAACCAAGAAGAAGCUCGACGCCGACAAUGACGGUGGAGGCAAUGUGGAGAAUGGGAAUCGUCUCCCCGAUCUCAGCAGCGCGACCAAGGUGCGUAUGUAGUAGUAAUUCUAUUACCGCUUCUUUCAUUAUUGUUAUAUAUAAUUUAUUUGUUGUUAUAAGUUUUGUUAUAUUUGUACAUAUCUGUUUUAUAUUUUCUAUCCGUAUUUAUUGAUAUCUCAUGAUAAGUUAAAUUUUUUAAAAUUUUAACUCUUUUAAUCUUUUAUUUUUUAUAGAAUUAGUCUGCCGCAAUGCGCAGGUAAUUUUAUAAAAAAAAAAAUAUGUAGUAAAAAAGAUUACUCGUUUUCUGAUAUUUUGAAGUUUUAUUUCAAUCACUCUGCGUGUGUGCAGCUUAUUGAGACUUCAACUUUUCCAAAACAAAGUUAAUUACAAAAAAAUGUCACAAGGAGAGAGAAAAAUAUAAAAUAGGAAUCAAGGAGAUUAAAAAGUCACAAGACAUAGAAAGUAUGAAAGAUUCAAAAUUUCAGAGUCAAUUUAUGACAAGUCAUAGGUCACCAAGAGAAACAAGAGAAUUUUCUUGCACAUCUCUCAUGGGCAUUGCUAUGGGCACACCCCUAAGUGUCCCUCUUAGAGUCCCCAAUUUAUAUUUCAAGUUGUGAAAUAACUAAUUGGUCUAAAACAGUAUCAUUUUUUAAGAUCAAUACUUUUCGAUAGGGCCAAGAUAAGCACUUUAAACAGUACCCCUUUUUUAAGGCUCGAGAUUUCAAGAGAAAAUAUAUUGAGAAUUAAACUAAAAAAUAUUCAAACUCUGAAUCUUCUACUAUGAUAUUAUGUGCAACAAUCAAUUACUUUCAAAACUUAAUUAAAUUGACAGAGAAUGGCGUCUCUAAUAUCUACCUUCAACACGGAUGUCUACAUAAGUUUA